rnacentral:lncRNA from 1 species
CUAUUUAUGGUGUUCUUGGUUAAUAUUGAUCAGGAUGGAAUGAUGGAUGGAGUUAUGGUGUUAAAUUACCAAAUGUAAUUUACAAAUUAUGGUGCUUUGAAAGUAUAUUGACUAUGUUAAGAAUGAUUAUAAGAGAAUUUUUCAAGCGCAAAUCUUAAUAUGUCAAAAUAAAAGAUAUCAUGUCUUUAUGUUUAUAUAAAUUAAAUGGAGUCAUGUUUCAGCAAUUAUAUUUUUCAUUUAUUUUAAUUUCUGAAAUAGUGAUUAUUGACCGGUUAGAUUUUAUCCUGAAAAUAAAGAGUUGAGAUGAGUUCAUGUAGGCGGGAGUAUGUAAUACUCCGGGAGUACGAUAGUCGUUUCCAUCUAUAUGUAAAUUAUUUUUCUCAUUUAUGAAAUUUAAAAAAAUGGGGACCCAUAUUUUAGAAAAAUAAUGGGUGCACCGAAGAGUUAACUAUAUAUAUAAUGGGCCGCCCGUUUUUUUUUUUCAUUUUUUUAAAUGAAGAUUUCAUAAAUGAAGAAAUAAUUUACAAAAGAGGCACUUUACUUAAAUACAUUAAGUAUUAGUUUUAUAACUUUUUAAUGUUGUCAAAUGAGGAAUUGGACUUGGCGAAUUUGAUUUAAAUCAUCAUAACAUCUUCGUAGUACCCACAACAUCACCUAAAGUUCAUGUUUAUCUUCGAAUAUCAACAAACUAACUCCAUCGAUUAAUCUAAUAUUUUGAUUUAAUAUUGUUUCGAUUCCAGGGGCGUNNNNNNNNNNNNNNNNNNNNNNNNNNNNNNNNNNNNNNNNNNNNNNNNNNNNNNNNNNNNNNNNNNNNNNNNNNNNNUUUCAUAAAUGAAGAAAUAAUUUACAAAAGAGGCACUUUACUUAAAUACAUUAAGUAUUAGUUUUAUAACUUUUUAAUGUUGUCAAAUGAGGAAUUGGACUUGGCGAAUUUGAUUUAAAUCAUCAUAACAUCUUCGUAGUACCCACAACAUCACCUAAAGUUCAUGUUUAUCUUCGAAUAUCAACAAACUAACUCCAUCGAUUAAUCUAAUAUUUUGAUUUAAUAUCGUUUCGAUUCCAGGGGCGUCAAAGAGACAAAGACCAUCCCAAAUUUAAAACUUCAACUUGCAAAGAAAUAGCAGCCAUAGAUGUUCACAAGAGAGUCUGCCAAGAAUCAAAAGUCAAAACAAUGGCUACCAGUUUCAUGGAAAAACAUUCGUCCCAUAUCAUAUACAAGUUUGAACAUCUGAUGGGCUCUUGAUCUCAAUUAAUCGUUCGAAGCCCUCUUAUCUCUCGUUUCUCAAUCUGUUGAGUUCUCUGGUCGGCAAAUGGCACAAGGGUAAGUAAUUUUGUUAUUAUGCUUUGAAUCUAAUUGGUACGCAUCGGGUUUAAAUCUGAAGCUUUUGUAUUUCGAAAGCUUCGCCUUGGAUUUUCGAUUUAGUGCAGUAUUUUUGAAUUGCAUGAUUACUUGAAACUACAUCUAUGGUGAUACUGAAAAAUCUAUCCAUAUUAGUUUGUUUCUUUCCGAUUGGAUUUAUAUAUUUGUCCAUCUUCAAAGUUUUCGGUGCGGUCAAUGACGACGAUGAGCUUAGAUUAGCAGUUUGACCGGCGAUGAUUUUAAUGGAGAUUGGAGAACACGAGGCUACUGAUUUGUAUAUCUGUACGUUCUUUCUCACUAUGAGUUUUCCUUAUGCAAUAUCAAUAUGAUUCUUCAUUUGCAGGAAGGGAACUUAAAACUUAAACACACCCCAUGACAAAGCAAUCUCAUUACAAUGUGUUUUACGGCCAUUCAAUUAUUUAAGAACCCCCCGGAUGGCAGCAUCUUAGUAUCAAUAGUUGACAGUGAGAUUCUUUCGCUUCAACGGUGUCCCUGAUUCAAGAGUAGAGGCAAUCAAUACCAAUUAAGUCACUCAGCUUCGGCCUCCAUAAAAAACACUGCUCCAAUUCUUCCAAUCUACUAAUAUACAAUUACCAACACGGCGCUCAGGUUCAAUAGCUAAUUCCCGUCACAGUUAAACCAAUCGGAUCCGCAAUCAAAGAUUGCCUACUGAAGUUUCUCGCCGGAGCGACCUCGCUCUCCGACCAGAUCUAUCAGGGGGUCGUGUCUGCUCGGACAGCACUGCGAUGAGAAGCUUCUUACCACGGUUGAAUCUGAGUGAUCAACAAACUCCAAUACGUCUUCAAAUUAUCUAGCAAAUAUUUACAUCUGAUAUUGGUUUUACUUUAGAGUUGUAAGGGGGUUUGCGAUUGGAUAAUAAUAACUUGUAUAUAUCAGUAGCUUCUACAUCAAAGCGUAUUUUGGAUAUUUUGUAUGUUUUCAGAGGGUUAUAAUGUUGGAAAGUCGUAUUAAUACUAACCAAGAUGAGGUGGAAAGUAGAACCCACUUUUAUAAAUGAGAAUGGAUCUUAUUGAUGUGGACGGUAUAAUAACUUUAAUCAUAAAUAAGUAAAUUUUAUCAAAAGAAACUUAGAUAUUUAAAGGGUUUUAUGAGCUUCUCAUAAAAACUAAAAUUCUAUUUGUCUUAACUAGUAGCUCUUUAUAUAAAAAAACUCUUUUCUUUCAGUGUGAACUAUGCUAGGUCUUUCUUCAACCGUAGCUUGAAAGACUAGUGCAGUAAGCAACAUGUGCUCAGUUUUGUCCUUUGAAUCUCAUUUCCCUAUCAACAUGAACUUCUCUCUCACAUUUUGCGUCUUGCUUUGUCCCUUCAAUCUCAUUUUCUAGAGUUACUGCACCACACAAAAGCGUCGGCAUGAUUUGAAGAAUAUGGGUUUUCAGGUGAGUGGAUUAGGUGGUUGUAGGUUUAUGUCACGACCGCCUCCUUUUCGAUUUUGGUUAAUGGGGAGGCUACAUGUUAUUUCAAGAGUAGGAAGGGGUUUAGGCAGGCAGGGUGAUCUUCUAUCCUGUUUUUAUUUUUAUUUUGGGGAUGGAGGUGUUGUCUCACAUUUUGAACAAAGUUCAUCAAGCGAGGUUUGUCAUCGGAUUUUACAUGAAUUAUUUAAUUUACCGCGUUCAUCACCAUCAUUUGCGACAUUUGUUGCAUAAUUGUAUAACUUUUGGUAGAAGUUUAAGGUGUUUCUUGCAUUUUAAACUUUUAUCUCGAUUUAGUGUCGGACCCGCUCGGGGUCCAUUUGAUGUCAUUUUUAGCAUUUUUUUAUAGAUUUCAGGUACAUGAUGACAUCGAUUACGCAUUAAGCGGAACGAUACAACGUGCAUGGACGAGUUAGGACGAUUUAAAUUAGCGAAAAAUGAAAAGUGCCGAAGGCUGUGCAAAAGUGCACUAUAGGUGUUCUAAAGUGUGGCACACUUUUCAACACAUCUAUAGCGCACAUUAGAACGACAAAAAUGAGUUCUCCACCAUUUUCGUUUUGCCUUCUCUAAUGUUGUUCAACCUUUAAAAAUCGUUUGAACUUAUUACUUCUUAAGGCUAUCUUCUCGACAAUUUCAUCAUGAAUUUCCCAAUCAAAAUAUUCCUUUAUGACUAUCUUAAACAUAUGCUCGUGACUUAGAGAGAAUUUAUGAAGUUCUCUAGUUUAAGAAUAUUAAGAUUCUUGAAUUCUUCUUGAAUUCUUCAAUGACCCUUUUUUAACCAUCCACUUCAUAUAGAGGGAUCUAAAAGUUUUAUGCACAUUUUUUAUUUAUGAAAAUGGUAUUUUAUUCAUCAAAACUGCCAUAUACCACAAAAAUAAGGGUAUACCAUUAGGAAGUUCUUACAGAAUCUGCUCACAAAGGAAACUACAAAACAACCUAACAAAACAACCUAACAAAACAAACAAGGAAUCAGCAAAACAACUAGGCCUUAGUCAUAUAAUGAAUCUCUCUACAAAUCUUGUGGGCAAUGGGCAGAGCAGCAAUUGGAUUCUCCCCCGCAUUCUUGCGACACCUUUCAUACCAAAUGUUACCAAUGAUGGAUCUCCAAAACAGCCUGAACAAAACAAUAUCAUCAUCAUCAUAAUUCACAUCAAACUCAACAAGAUCUCCCCAUCAGCCCACUUGAGGAGCCGAACUUCCAAAGCAAAAAGAGUAAAUUCGUUGUGCAAAAUUACAUUUCUGGAAAAUAUGAUCAAUAUCAUCCAUACCAUUAUCACACAAAAGCAAAUUGAUAUCUAGACUAAGCCCCCCAAAACCAUUUUUGUUCUAGUAGUCAAGCGAUUGUAAAGAGCUAACCAAGAGACCUCCUUCUUUCCUUUUCAGAGCAAUGAAAUGUCAUGUUACUUUGGCCUUCUUCUUACCACCAUCCCCCACAUUUCAAAGAAAAUCACUACAGAUUUUCUCAACCAUUUACAUAAUGGUUUUUGGCAACAAGAAAACAGAAAGUUAAUGUUGACUUAUGGAGAAAAGCACUAAAUUAACAAGUUGUAGUCUACCAGCAUCACUGAGAAAUUUCACUUUCAUCCUUUAAGUCUAACAGUAAUAACAAAUAGUAUUAGGGAGAGGGGAUCCCUCUGUCUCAGACCCUUCCUUCCUUUAAAAUAUCCCAAAACUCCACCAUUUAAUCCAAUACUUAUUAUAACAUAUUUAAGACAUCCUUCAAUCUAGGCAACAAACUGAUAAGGAAAACACAUUGCUUUUAGAAUAGUAAUCAAGUAAUUGAUGUCAACUGAGUCGAAAGCCUUCCUAAGGUCAACCUUAAGAGAAAAUCUUGGAGAAACAUGGCUCAAGUGAUAAGAAUUUACCAGUUCAUGUGCAAGCAGUACGUUAUCUCCGAUUACACGACCCUUAAACAAGGCAGAUUGAGAAUUACUAAUGACCUCAGGCAAAUAGAGAACCAUUCGACAUGCCAAGAUCUUUAAAAUAAUUUUAUACAAGACAUUGCAGCAACCAAUAGGUUCGAAUUCUCGAAUGUUAGUAGCAUUUACCUUUUUUGGGAUGAGAGUCACUAAGGUAGAAUUUACAAUUUUAGGAAGCUUCCCAUUUUGAAAAAUGAGAGUCACAACUUCAACAGUGUCACUACUAACUAGGUGUCAAGUCUUCUUAAAAAAUAUGAUGAGAAUCUAUUGGGCUCAGGGCUGGUUCCAUCUAGAAUGGAGAAAAGAGCCAUACAAUCCUCUUCAUUGGUUACUGGAGCACAUAGACUAUCUACUCUCCCAUUAGGGAGUUUCUUGAUUAACAUAGUAGCCAGAGUAUCACAUAAAUUGCUUCCACAUCUCCAUUUUCAUAGCCUAACAUGUUUUUUGUACAAACCCACUACAAUAUUAUCAAUUUCAUUAGUAUUUAUAACAAGUUCACCUCUAUAAUUUUCAAGUUGGAUAAUCUGCUUACGAGCUUGCCUUGACUUCACAGAACGCUGAAAGAAACCAGUGUUUGAGUCUCCAAGAUUUAACCAAUUCUUUUUUGCCUUCCGACUAUAGAAAGCUUCUUCAACCUCUUUCAAUUUCAUCCAAACAUCGUGACUCUCUUUAGCUUUAGCAACUGUCAAAGCAUCAUGCCUCUUUAGAGCCUUCAUCUAAUCACCAUUCAUAAUUUCCUCCGCUUCAGUCACUCUACGAGAAAGACUAGAAAACUUUCUCAAAUUAAAUUCUCCGAGUCUUGCAUAAAUACAAUCAAACCCUAACCGAUGAGACACAACUAAGCUAAUUCUCUAAGAAUUUAUAAUAGAUUCAUCAUAACUAGGCCAUUUUGUCCAGAAUUUGAAAAAAUUGAAGGAUUUUGGAAGAGAUACAACAAUAACUUCAGUUUCCAACAAAAUGCCACAAUAAUCUGAAGCCCCUGGCCCCAAUUAUUGAACUCUGAUCUUUGUGAAAUUAUUCAUCCAUAAUGAGUUAACAUGGCAACAAUCUAAUCUCCUAGCAAUAGGAUCAUCCACUAUGUUAUUUUGCCAGGUAAAGAAGGAACCCGUCACUAGGUGAACUUCCAACUCAUUACUCACAAUUCAUUCACUAAAAUCAUUCAUGGCAUUUAUAAUACCAAUAGAAUUCGAGGCCUCCGAAGAUGAAGUAAUAGCAUUAAAGUCUCCAAGGGUGGCCAAGGGAAAAUUCACAAAAAGCUUCCACAUCAACAAAUCAUACAUCCUCUAUCGUUCUCUCUCCUUAUUUGCUCCAUACACCACACAGAUUUGAAAAGGUCUAGUACAAGAAACUUGAGCAAUAUUUGAUCACAUUCAAUUGGAUGUUACUUCUCCAAAGAAGCCAAAUCUUACCAAGAAGGCUGCAGUAAUAAUUUGUAAAGUGAUUCCAAAAAGAAAAGCCAUAAGCCAACUUCCUACAAGCUUUAUUACUAGUAAUUUUAGUUUCCAAAAUUCCAAAAACAUCUACAUUAUACUUAUUUAGAUACUUAUUUAUAUACUAGUAUUUCAAGAGGGAAUUGAACCCUCUCAUAUUCCAGAUUAAAACCAUCAUCAGGUUUUCUUACCCCGUUUUCUGCUUCUCUUCAAGUAUUGCUUUUAUUAGAGAAGGGACAAGCGGCUCCUCCAUAAUGAUUUCUUCUUCAGCCGGAUCAGAUUUCUCCCCUUCAUCCAGUAUACUGCUAACAAAUGAUUCAACCAUUUCAUCAAUAUGAUCCUCCAAGCCUUCAACUCCUAAUGAGAAAGAAGUUUUUUCCAGCUGGCUGAUCUCCAUUGUGUUUUCCUGCUGAGUACAUGCCACUUCAUUUAAAAUAGUAGCUUCAACAUCAAUCACUCCUUCAACAAUAAUAGGAGUAUCAUGCUCUUCUGAAGAUUCAAAAAUAUUGUUCUUAAUAAAUUAACCUUAGGCUUCCAUACUUUAAUUUGUUCUUUACCCGUCUCCAAACGUUGAUUAUAAGUACGAUUUUAUGAUAUUUCAAAAAUAAUAUUGACAAGCUCACCCUCAACCCAAAUAGGCAGAAAAGACGGGCAUGCCUUGUCCUUACUUAGACGAAUGCAAACUUUAACAUCCAAGCCAAUUCUCAUAAACUUAUUUAUCGGGGCACCAAUUCUACUGACCAUCCAUUCAAUCGCAUUAAACAGACAACCCCAGCAUACAACGCAAUGCGUAUUUAGAUUUGAAUAUGAAAAGGGUCAUUUACAACCGAAGAACCAAAAGGGAUGCUGGUAUAAUAUGGGGUCUCCACCUCUAACGGAACAGAAAAGGUUGAAUUAUUUUAUUCUAUAGAUAUUGGGACCUUUGCCAAAGUCUAGCUCUUUUUUCCUACUAAAGUUUCAAAUUUAACUGUUGAUGAACAUGCUACACUUUUUUCUUUCACAAUAAGACCUGGACGAUUAUCCCUAACCUCGGUAGCUCACGAGUUUACGUCCAUCCAUGGACGGGUACAAUUUCCUUCUUCUAUCUUAUCUAGUGCCUUGCUCCUUGGCUCCCUACAGCUCUAGCCGCUCGCAGUAAUAGCUUGCGUCUCGGGUGGUGCUGCUGAGCCAGAGGAGGCUCUUUCUUUAUCACCCGAUUCUUGCAAAAAAAAAAGAUAUUCCAUGAUCGGAGCAGGUAAGAGCAUCCUCCUAAUGAAUGAGUUCUCCAAUAUCAAUCGAGCAGUAAAUACCUUCCUCUUGUCUUACGACUACCUCAUAGGUGCCAAUCGGGCUGCUGUAAUUACAUUUAGUCUCUUCAAGCCCUCUUUCCUCGAUUGGGCUGCUCAAACCUAUUCGGAAAGCAAAAGGAUUAGUUUUGAGCCCGACAUUUGUUAAAAACCAAGGAGGAACAUCACGAAGCUUAAUCUAAGUAGGAAUCUCCUUAACCUCAAGAUCCAGAGGGGCAAUACCGGCUUGCUAUUUCCUUAACAGAGUGAUGCAUAUGCGAGGCAUGACUAAAAACCCAGUCACAAUGUUUCUCAAACGAAAAAUCAAUGAGGAAGAAACCUGCCGAGAUCGUGGAAAGCGGAACUCCCCUUUGUAUCCCCAUAAUCUAUUAAUCAUUGAUGAAUAACUUGAGUCAAUGGGAUCAAACCAGAAACUGCACCACACUGCUGAACGCAGACGCUUAACACCCUGGUCGAUAAUGGAUUUUGGGAAAUCAGAGCACCAUCAACAAACCGCGGAAUCUGGGACUUCCACGAACUUUAGAUCUGAUCCCUGUGAGCCAACAAUCAAAGCCCAGGAUUUACCUGGCACCGACGACGAAGCUCCACCACCUUCUAUGCCACUCGCACCGAUCAGAGUCGGAGAAACGAGGGGAGGAAUAGAUUCAAACUCAGGAGACGAGAGAACCAUAGAGAGAAGAAAAGGAAAAGGAGGAAGACAAGCAGCGAGACAAAAGCUAGAGAUCCAGAGAUCCGCCGGCGAUCCUCCAGACAGCGGAGAGCCCCAGAGGAGCGCACCCACAGAGGAAACUCACCGAUGCCAGCGAUCAAACAUCGUGAAAACCAAGCUCAAUUUGAGAGAAUUUCACGCGCCACAUCGCUUGUCACUACGAUUGAUUAAUUGCUAUAUCACGUAUUCAACAUUGCUAUAUCACCUCUUUCAUAGUAUGCUCACUUAAUUUGCUCCAUUUAAUCAUCUUUUUUUAUUAAGUAAUCAUUUAAUUUGCUCCAUUAUAUCAUCUCUUUGAUUAUGAUUAAUUUACUCUAUUUGAUCAUCUUAUGUACUUGAUUUCGAUCCAUUUAAUCGUCUCUUUGAUUAUAUGUGAUUUUCUCUAUGAUCAUGUAUUGAUUGUGACCUGGCAAUUCGGGUGAGUCGGAUCAAUUUGGGCGGGUCUUUUCGGGUUACAGAUUGUUUCGGGUUGGGUCAUUCGGGUCACAAGUAGCUAUUUUAAAAAAUUGACCCUAAUCCUAAAAUUUUGAGUUGGGUUGCGGAUCAUUUCGGGUUAGAAACGCGUUGAGACAUAACAAAAUUAUAUUAAUCAUUAUGACAAAUUUAUUAAGAUAACUAUACUAAACUUUGACUAAUUCAAGUUAAACUAAUAAAUAAACAUGGUCAGAUAUAAAAAUAGAUAUAAUAGUUCAUAGCAAAGAAAACAAACAUAUUUUUAAAAUACAAAUUCACGAUGUAACUUAUAUACAAUACAUUUGUAUUAAUAAUACUGAGAGCAUGAACAAACUAAAUAUUCAUAACUUAAUAGUUCUUUUAAAAACAUUUACCAAUGAUGUCGUCUAAUAAAUAUUAAAUAGAUUAAUGAUUUUUAAGUACAUUCUACAUGGCUUAUGUUGAAUAAUAUUGUGAAAUUUAUAAAUAGUGUAAUAUAUAAUCACAGGAAAGAAAGUAAAAGAUAUUAUAAAAUAAAAAUCAUAAUCAUAAGUAAGACUAAAUAUUAAAAAUCCUUUAAAUGAUGUUAAAAAUAGUGAUUUUAAUAUGCACUAUAGGAUUUUUCGGGUAAAUGGGUAGACUCUAAACCCGACCCUAACCCACCAAAAAAUAUGGAUUGUUAGGUUUAGAUCAUUUCGAUUUCAAGUGGUAAAAUAGCAAACCCAAUCUGAACGGGUUUUAAUUGAGUCAACAGGUUAAAUCCAAAAUUGCCAGGUGUAAUUGUGUUUGAUUUGCACUCUGAGGAAUUCAAAGUUGAACGGCUUCUAUUUAGAAUGAUCAUAUAUCAGUUUUUACAAAGUAUUUUGUUUGCAUAUGAAAAUUUAUUAAAAUUUGAAAGCUACUAACCUUAUCUUAUCUUCUCGAUUUGUCUCUUUGAAGGUGUCCCAUUUUAUAUGAUAUUUUAAUAAGAAGUGGGAUGAAGCCUCACUUGAAUUUGGACAAAGGGAACAUCACUAACAUAAAAUAAAUUGUAAUUAAAUUUUUAUAAUUCUUCUCUCUUCAAAGAUAUACGGCCAGAAUCGUUAAUACAUGGCCAGGGGUAGGGAACAUAGAUGUGUAGUUGCCGAGUAGUGAAGCUAUUUACGCUAAGCUAGUGUGGCUGGUCAGGGCGUACUCUUGGAGCGGGAUAUUUUUUCAAUAAUAUUUUGAUUUACAUACCAUUGGGUAUAAAUGAUUUCAUGAAGUUUUACGGAUCGUUUGGAAUUAAAUGAAUUUUAUUUCAAAAUAAAUUAAUGUGUAACAUUUAUUAUCAAAAUAAAUUCCUAUAUUUGAAUUGAAUCGCCAUACACCAUGUCUCGAAAGUAUUUUAGAAUUAAAUAAAACUAAAAUUUUCUAUACAUACCCUAAUUGGUUUACAAACAUGCAGUAUAUUUUCUUAUUCAGUAAAAAAGUUUAUUGAAUUAGCAACAAUCAUCCCCUUAACUAACAUACUAAUCAUAAAGCACAACAACAAAAAAUGAAAUUAUCAGUUAUCAUCCAACGAAUCUAACAAACAAAACACGGAGUUCUUAAAAAUUAGUGAGCUAUUUAAAGAUCAAUCUUUUAAAACCUUCACUCUAAACCCAUUUUCACUUGAGCCAAGAGAAUUUGCGAAGCAAAUGAGGAGAGCUCAUUUCAUCUUCUUGUGUCAUGUGGUUUUACCUCCAAGAUUUGGCAGCAUGUUCUUGCUUUGUCGAAUCAGACACUUGCUUUCCCAGGUGACUCGAGAACCUUGAUCUAAAGUUGGGAUGUUGCUGAUUUGGAUUUUGCUCACUUCUUCAGAUAAUUAUCUCAUGCUAUUUUUUGGGGUGGUAAUGCGAGAGAGAAACGAUAGGAUUUAAAAAAAUGACUCCUCCAAAUUCAAUGCAUUGGUCAAUAAGGUUUGCUAUAUGAUUGGAGAAUGGCUCUACUCUUUUGAUUUAGCUUCAUCUUCGGGGUUAUAAGUAGGGGUGUAAAUAAGUUUUAUUAACUCAGCCUAUCCUUUUUUUUGUCUGACCCAACUCAACUUUAAUGGGUUGAAGUGAGUUGAGGUGGGUUUUGUUAUGGGUUGGAUCAUCUAAAAAAUUUAUAAAAAAUAAAUCAAACUCCUUAUACUUAAUCUGAAAAACUCAAACUUAGAAUAGCUGUUACAACAAACUCCAUAAACUUCCUCCAUUUGUUAAAACAGAAACAUUCAGAUGCAGGGACUUCAUGCUAGCAACAUAUAUAUCGAUUCAGAUGCAGGGAUCUUGGCUCGUCGCAAAUCUGAGAUCCACGUGGUGAGCACCUGAUGAUUCAAACCAAUCAAAAGUGUUAAACACAUGGCACUUAAUUGAUUAGUCGAUAACUAAUACGGAAGAUUCAAAGCUUCACCUUCUUUUGUGACGAUUGCAACUAUGCUGCUGGAGAUACUCUCCAACACCUUGUCAAAAUAACAACAACUAAUCAGAUAAUACAUUUGAGCUCCUCCUUCCUAUUCAUAAAUAAAUAGCUGUUUAAUUACCCUCCUCCACUCCAAGGGUCUCUCAAGCCAUUGAAGAAGAUGAUGUUGCUGCCAUACCUCUUCAGCACUUCCUUAAUCCUCUGUGAAUUCGGUGGUGAUCCAGUUUCUGCGACGGAAAAUGUCGUACUCCUUGUCGCAGGAGGAGUUAUCAUCGUAGCUCCAUCUCUGUACAAGCCUAUGAGUGCCCAUUCAGAUUUGAAACAUUCAGAUUUGUUAAGCGUUUGAUGAAACUACAUAAAGCCACAAAAAAUUAUCGAUUCAUCAGCUUUUAAAUUCGUGAGUCAUCAUCUACCAUGAUAGCCGUCUCAUCCAAACCCAACUCAUUUAACUCUGUUAAUACAAUAAAAUAUAUACAUAUAAGAUCAACAGAAGUUAUAAAGAAUGGAAAAUGCUAAAAGAAACACAAUGGUUACCCUGCUCAAGUUCUUCAACCUCUUCAAAGGUUUCUUCCAUAUUAAUUGGAGCGGUACUAGAGCGCAACCAAUUUUGGGUACAUAUUAGGCUCUCUACAACUAAAGGAGACAAAGAACUCCGAAAUGCAUCCAAAAUGCGUCCCCCGGUACUAAAUGUCGAUUCGGAUGCCACAGUAGAUACUGGAAUUGCCAAGAUGUCUUUAGCCAUCUUUCUAUAAAGUGAGUCGUGAGACACAUAUAAUCGAGAUGAUGGCUACUCGUCCAAAUAUCAGUAGUAAGGCAAACUCUAACUUUAGAAUGCUUAAAGUAUGAUUUCAACUUUUCCUUCUCACUAAGAAACAACUUGAAACAGUCUUUGGCAACCGUGACUCUACAGGGAUAUAAAAUUCUGGUCGUAACUGUGACUCUACAAGGGAUAUGGAAUUCUGAUCGUAGUGAAUAAGUAUAGUCACGAAAACCUUCACCCUCAACAUGUCUAAAUGGCAACUCAUCAAUAAUAAUCAUCCUAGCAAGUUUCAUUCUUGACACUGACUAAUCAAAUGUAUGGGGUGUGAAGGUCUGAGAUGUACUACUUGCCUCCUCCCUAGGAAGCGGAAGACUACGAUUCUUUUUGUUCAUAUUGACCAUGUUGUAUGGAUAUAUUUUACAUCUUUCUAAAUGCCUCUUUAAAGUACUCAUUCCUUGUGAACCUCUACAUUUGUAAAUCUUUCACCAGUAUUUGCAAUUAGCUUCCCUAUUCUUUUUUUUCUCCCAAUUCACACUAACAAAAAGUUCCCACACAACUUCAACCUAUCAAAAUGUUCCCACACAACUGAAGUUCCAGACAUACCUUGUGUACCCACUUGAAUAUUGGAUGAAGGAGGUGCAUUGCUCUCUUCGGCAUCAUCCAUGGUCUGUACUUCUACUUGAUUAGAAUGAUUAUAUUAAAUCUGCAAAAAAUAGUGAGGGGAUAUGGAUGAACAGAGUACUACAAAUCUUGGUUGUGCAUUCAUUUUGUUAAACAACGUAACUCUAUGCAUCCUUGAAGACCGAAGUGAAGAUGUAUAGGUUGUUUGAUUUUGUACUAAUUAUCAGCUAGCUGAUCAUCUCCCUCUCUGCUAUAACUAAUAACUAUGGCAAGAGACAGUGAUGAUGAUCAUGUUCUGUAAUAAAUGUAAGGCAACACUAUCCAUGUUAGCUUCAUAAUCCUAGCUGAACUAGCACAGUGACUAAUGUUUAUUUUGGAAAAACUCUGCUUCACUGUUCUGCCUUAUAUCUGCUCUUCUUUUAACAAGCCAGAAAUAUAAACAUAUGUUAUAAUUUUUAAUAGCCAGAAACUAAUUAGGUUAAAUAAUUGUGUUUGCCUAUAUUAUCAAAGAAAACCUUCAGUGGAGAUGAUUUGUGAAAGAUUAGGGAUUCAACUCUAGCUAGCCACAAAUCUUUGUAGAUUUUUGCAAUUAUCUAGCCAAGGGUGCAGCCCCCUUCUCCCAAUUAGCUUCGCCACUGGCUCUUGGUCACCCAACUCCUAAUAAGCCUACUGCUAAGGGUCAUACCAAGCCACAACUACGCACCCCAGCCCAAACGUUCGUCCGCCUCUGCUCGCUAGCUAGUAGUUUUUCUAUAUUCUAGAGCGAUUGCUACCCGAACGACCAGAUCAUCUCUAACAAUAAUGGCUAGGAAAGAGAAUAUAAUAGUGCACAUUAUUGAAAGUAGGGAGAGAGGUUAGUACCUGGGUCGUCGUCGUUGUAGCUAGAUCGUUGUCGUCAGUCAGGGGAGAGAAUGAAUUCAGGGAGAAAAUGACUCUAUUGACGGAGGUGGGUGGUGGUGGUGGAUAUCGUCUGAUGGGGAUUUGAAGGAGGAAGAAAGAGUUGGUCUGAGGAUGCAGGAUUCGUGGCCCGAGAGGAGAGAGAGAUUGAGCACGGUCGCCGAGGCUGGGUUGAAAAUAAAUAUUGCCCAACCCUGUUUGUGUUAAAAAAAUCUAGCUCGAAUUGGCUCAUUUUUUUAUGAACUCGACCCAACUCAUUCGAGUUGGGCUGAGCCGAGUUGGGCUUACAGGUUAGUGGGUUAAAUUUACAGCCCUAGUUAUAAGUAGUGGUUGUAGCUUUUCAUUAUCAGAGCGACCUUUGAGUGGAUGUCUGUAAUGUGUAUUGAUGAGUUUUUUUUCCUCUGUUUUGGAUUUCGAUUACCUUCAUUCGAACCGUGCUCAUCUUUUCUAACUAAUCCUUUCGAAUCGGAGUUAGAGACGACAUUGAAAUCGACUUCGAACGGUGGAAAGUUGAAUCCGUAUUUUUUACGUACUGAACCCUGAUUCAUUUUGACUCUUUAUGAAUAAUAUUUCACUCACAUGAUAAAAAAAAGAAUUUGAUCUCAUCAUCACAACUAAAAAGAGAGAAGAGUAUUAGAGUUGGGGCACAUAGAGAGGUGGAUGAGAAACUCUCUAUUUUAUAUCAGGGAACUAAUAACGAGUGGGGAAGACUUAUAUCAUUAAUUUAAUUAAUCAGGGAUAUAUAUGUCAUUUUAUUGUUAUUAAUAAAUUUUUGUAAAAUUCAUUUGAAAAAUAUUUUAUAAUUCUUAAAAAAUUGCUAAUAGUAGUCUCAAUUUCAUAGAAUUUAAAAUUUAUAAUUGAAAAUAAUAUCUUUUACAUACCGAACACAAACACAUUUUAUUUCAAAAUGGAUUCCAAAAAGUUUAUAAAAUUUAUUUAUAUCAAACGGUAUAUUUGGAAUUCAUUUUGAAAUGAUGUAUUCUUGUAUUUGGAAUAUAAAUAAAUUUANNNNNNNNNNNNNNNNNNNNNNNNNNNNNNNNNNNNNNNNNUUUUUAAUUCUGAAUUUUAAAAUUUAUAGAAUUCAAGCUAGUUUUAGAAAUUUUGAGAAAUUAAUGUAGAAUUUCCAAAUAAAUUUAUAAAAAUUUCACUAAUUAAAGUUGAAUAACAUAUCUAUCGCCAGGUUAAUGAUUCGCUGGAUUAAAUUACCCCUAUAUAUCUUCCCCACUUGACCACCACUUAACCUGAUAUAUAAACACAUCGUUUUAAGGAGGGAGAACUGUAACACCCCGAUCAUUUUAGCAAAAGCAUCUCUAAUUUACGUCGUGAGAUUUAAAUAUUGUGACAACUCUUAUUUGACUUGAAGAUAAUGGUUGAAAAUUAUAACUUUACAGAGGAUAAGACAUCAAAACCGAUUAAGUCAAAUAGUUAAUGUUGGAAAUAACAAAACCGUCAGGUAAAGUAUAUGAAUUUGUGGGUGGUUAAGCUAAUCGCAAAUUGGUCAGCAAUCGAGUUGGUUAGUGUGCAUGUUCAUUCCCUAGCUAAUCCGAGAUCGAGGGCCACUAGUAGGACACCGUUUAUUUUCUUAUAUGUUCCACAUCACGCCAAACCACGUCAUUUUAAAUUAAGUCAGAAACCAAAGCACCAUCGUCGUCUUCUCCAUUGAACCAACUGACGAGUUCUCUAUUUUUCCUACAGAAGUUUCACCUUCCAUAAUUGAUGAUUAGACCCCAUUCACCUAAUUCGGUCCCUCCAUUGUGCACUAACUCGCACCAGUAGUCAAUUGAAACACAUUCACAACUCUAUAAUCCACUAGAUCAGUCCCAAAACAUCAUAUCAGAACUUUUUCAGUUUUUCUUGUUGCUCCGGUCAUUUUCAUCGAUGGAGCCGUAUGCUCAGAUAUUAGUUCAAAUAAUGCAACCGGGACCUUCCUAGAGUCAUUAUAAACCCUCUUGGCCGUCUCGAAGAACCAGAAUCUCCAGAAACUAAGUCUCCUCCUCCGGCCACAUUGUUCCAACGAGUUCGACGACAGACAUGGAGUGAGCAUCUCAUCUCGUUUCCAUUCGAUUAACCAAUCCUGGAAGGUAAGGUAUCCAUUCAGUAAUCAUUUCAUACCAAUACUGUUUUGCUAAAUCUAACCCAAAAUCUAACCUAACUCUCUCUUCCACAUUUUCGGAUUAACCAAUCGACUAGGGCCAACAUCAGAAGGAUUCAAUCAUGCCAUAUUUCCUAAAGCAUCUCAUUAGAUUUGUGACAAACCAAGGAAGCUCCUCGUAUCCUUCGUUCCCAAUUUACAAGCCAAGCCCGUAAUAUAUGAGACUCGCCGAAAUGACGAAUGCUUCGUUGGAGUUUUCCUUGUGAAUUGAAGAAGAUGGUGGUAAAGUCUAGUUUUAGUCUCUAUAGAUUAAUUCAUUUUGAAUCCUCAGUAAACUAAUAAUGACCCUUGUAACCCAUAACCUAAAUCUGGAUAGGCGUGGCCCAUAUACUUCCCAGGCUUUACAGUUUAGCCCGGACAACUACAAAAGUGACGUAAUUGAUCGUUUCUUGAACCGUGGACGUAUAUUUAGAAUCGCAAGCGAUGCACCCAAGGUGGGUUGGCUUAAGGGGUAAAUUCCUCUUUGAAUAAUUAAUUUAAUGAUUGAUUAUGCGAAUUAUGCUCUGAUAUUGCAAGGAUUUGUAGUGUUUAUCUCACCAUAUCUACAUGCUUUUUAAGUGACUACUAGCUCAUUUAUGUUUCAAUUCCGUGUGAUUUUGCGUCUCGACAUUGUAUUUCUUAGACCCAAUCACUUGGAUUGUUUCGGUCCAUUUGAUGUGUUUCUUAUAGUAUUUUUCAUCCACAGGUACUUUAGAGACAAUUAGUCUGCUAACAAGGCUACGACCGCGAAUUAGAGCACGGUUGGAGCACGGUUGACGAUCUCUACUGAGGCGCACACGCCUAUUGUGCCACUGCUUUCUCCCUGCAGCAUCUUAUGACAUCAUCCAGACUGCAUCCUCAUACAGUUUAGCAUGGCCCAGCCCAUGAGAGUUGUUGAUAUGUUGGAGGGCGAGGUCAUGUUCUUGCUCAGAAUGACGCAGAGGAACGUGACGGCUAUCGAGGCGAGGGCGGAACUAUACCUUGGGCAGUGGGAGAGCAGAUUGGACCAUGUGGUGUAGGCUGCAGUGGUCAAUGAUUCGGAGAGGUGGUACUUCAAGGCGGAGGACAUUAGAACAGUCCAUUGUAUGUACCCAAGCACUCUUCCAAUUUGUAGGCUUUACAAAGCUAAUAUAGUUUUUAUUUUAAUUUUGCAGAUUGAUGGGUUGGAGGACCUAUCUAUUAGGGUAGCUUCACAAGAACAACUCGGUAGAGAUGACACCGAGGCGGUUUGGCAGUGUCUAUGUUCCAUGAUGCACGCCACCAGAGAUAUGGAGCGUAGGCUUGACGACCCACGUCAUCACCUCCAGAUACCCCCUACAGGAUCGACCCACCAUGCAUACAACCCUAACACCGUUGAGCCACUAAGUCAGGUUGUUGUCCCCAUUACAAGAUGUACACUAUGCCAGUGGAUCCACGAGGUGCAGUUUGUUCUAUGGCCCUACACCCCCGACUUGUCAGACUUUCGUGCCCAGCAACACCCACCCCUAACAGUACUAGCGGGAGAAAAAGUCUCAACACUGGGGACAACAGUCUUCUCAGACAUAGCAGAGGAGACAAUAACAUAUCCAGUCACAAUAAUGGCGCCCCCAAAUACCUUUUGAUGGAGUGAACUCCUCACAUAGUGGGCCCCACAGACACAACACCUGGAAACUCUGUUUGAGACGAUGAUUGAGGAUCAGAUAGUCAGACAUGGCACAGAUCAAAUAGCCCUUCUAAGGCGUCAGCAACUUGGGUGCGACUGAACCUUUCAUAGAACAUGUGCGACACCAGAGCCCACCCCUGAGCAGAUCGCUUGAGGGGGACAUGUCGUGGGUAGAUAAUUUUUGAUUAUUUGUACUAUGUUCUUCUCCUAUUAUGAUUGUAGUAUUGUUGUAUUAUGACUUUAUUAUGGUAGUACUAUGGUUAAUGGUAUUUCCAUUGUACCACUUAAAAUGGAUUGAAAUAAAAGCAACACUGACAUUAAAUGGAAUCCUUGAUGAGACACAUACAUGGAUUAGAUACUGACUUCAACCAUAGAAAACGGACAUUAAAUGGAAAUUAACUAAAUGGACAUUAAACGCUCACACAUUGUAUGACAGCUCCAAACCAAUAUUCAUUUCGACCAAACAUCUUAAGUAAUUUUUUGCGCCUCUCGUCGAAAUACUUUCUUACCCUAGUAAACAUAGAAUAAUCAUCAUAUGAACAAGUACAUGGUGGACAAAGGAAUCAACAUUUGAGUUCACAUUCCUAAAUUAUAUACCUGUAAAACGUUACGCUGGCCAAAGCACAUAUUAGCAGUGCCCUAAUCCCUUUGAACCCUAUGUUAAUACUCUCUGCCAUGUUCGUUGUCAUUAUACCAUGGCACAUGCCCCCAUCACAACAUCAACACACUUGCUCCUUAUUCCUUGGUCUUCUAGGACCUAACUUGUCUUCUUGAGGCCCAAUCUCGCAUCGGCGGCUAGAAAUCCAAUAAGCUUUGCAUUGAGCCUGCGUCUGAAUCCCUCAUUCACUAGAACAGUUUGAAACGCACUAGUGAGCAAACUGGAAGUGUAAACUAAAAAGUGCGAUAUAGUAGCCCAAAAUUUUACCUAUGGCCUUCAAUCGUUCCUUCAUGUUGGGCUCCUUCACAUGGCUAUUGUAAUUGCUUUCGUAGUGUCGGCUGCACCAUCUCCAUACCCAGCCCCAACCAAUUUGGUCCAUCGCAGCUCUAAUCCGGGCAUGGCGAUCCGUGAUGACACAAACGUUCUGCCAGUCUGUCACUAGUUCUUGUAGGCGAAGGAAGAACCACACCAUGAAUCGAUACUCUCUUUGUCAAUGAUGGCGAAAGCGAGAGUCAGGAUGUUAUGAUUGCUAUCAAAUGAACUUUCUAUCAGCAGAGUGCCACUAUAUUUUUCAGUGAGGAAGGUGUCUUCCACAACUAGCAUAGGUGGACAAUGCCGAAAACUGUCGAUGCACGACCAGAAGCUCCAAAAUGCAUACCUGAAUUGCUUAAGUGCACCGCCACCAACGAUUAAGUCGUCCAAGUGAAACUGGACCUGGGGGCCAGGGUUAAGAUGUUGCACCUCAUUGAAGAAAUCUGGAAGUUUGUUGUACCACUCCUCCCAGUUGCCAUAUGUGAUUCCCAUCGCCUGCUGCUUCCCGUACCUCGCCUUUCUGUACGAGAUCUUCCGUUGGAACAUGUGUGAAAUCUCAUCUUGGACUAAACGAAUCUUGAAUUGUGGUCGUGAUCUGACCCGGUGCAUUAUCGCAUCCGCAAUGACGUUCACAUCAAGUUGGGUGGACUUGAUGUUGUGCUCGCAUCUAUCACAUGUGUGAUGUGGGUUCCGUUGCCGCACGGUCUAGAACCUGUCAUCCGCUCUGUUGGUGACACGUAACCUCCAUGGACAGUUAUUAGUUUUGUAUGAAUAACACGUAACCUCCAGUUUCCAAGUAUUUGAGUGAGCCGUCGCCAAGGCUCGACUCCUUUAGAGGGCCUAGUGUUUGACAGCAAGACUUGCCUCCUUCUUUGUGUAAAACUGUUGACCGAUAUAGAAAUCUUCACGAGUGGGGUUGAAAUAUGAGAUUUCAGGACUAUCCUGGUAAUGGUCCAUAGUCAUCACCUUAUUGAUGUUGUCUUCCAAAGUUGUGAACAGCUCGGGUGGAGUGUACUGUCGUGGAGGGGUACGAGACGAUGAUGCAGCUCCUUCUCCAAUUAUGACAUCAACAUCCUCCCCUUCUAGAUUGAGCGGGCCAAUCGGCAUAUCGUUGUCGUCCUCGGUCGAGGCAUGACCAGCAUCCCCUUCCCCAUUGUUGUUUCUAGGAUCGUACUCAACCUCAUUGCAACCUUGUUUUCUAGUGUGACAUCAUCGUUCUUGUGUCCGUCACAAUGAGAGGCCCCAUCCAUGUUCUGUGAACUAGAAGGUUCAAAGUAACCCGUCGUUCAGGAUUGACCACCAGAGCCAUAAACUCUAUCGAUGGCAUCGUCGAACUCCAAAUACAGCUCUGGAUUGUUGCACGCCUGGAAAUCUGAUAUCAUGUUAUAAAUAGCUCCCCAAGAGUCUUUAUCGAUGCAUGGCCGGAGACAGUACCCAGCAAUACUAGCACCAGCCAUCAUAGGAUGACGAUAAUAUACGUUUUGGAGGAUGGUUUCCGUGGGAAUCUUCAUUUUUUUAUGAAACAAAAAAAUCGCUCGGGCGAAGGUCGCUGUUGAACUCAUCUUCACUCUUCGAUAGUGACCACCGCCAUACCCAACUCCGAUGUUUGAGAAAAAAUGUUGCUUCCCAACGGAGAAUGAAUGCAAACUCAACAAUUAUCUACCAAGAAAACAAGAUAGGAGACUCAUAGUAAGGAGACAGAGUGAGGAAAUGGGUGUUCAGGACUUGUGAGUUGUGAGCAUUGAAGGUUUGGGAUUAAAUAGAAGGGAGGGGGUAAUAAUACUGCAGCAUAUUUCCUCCACAAGUAUGCAAGAUUCCCCAGACAUUUUUAGCUUUCAGCAGCUUUGACCACGGGCAUGCAGCUUUCCACCAACUUUAUCAGCUUUUGACUAGAGACCAGCAACUUUCGGCCAACUUUAUCAGCUUUUGACCACAGGCCUGCAGUUUUCGGCAACUCUAUUAGCUUUUGACCAUGGGCCUGAAGCUUUCAGACAACUUUAUCAGCUUUUUACCAUAGCCUGCAGCUUUCGGUCUAUCAUUACCUCUAUCAUUUACUCAGCUUUUGACCAUUUCGGUUUGACCUUCCAAUGAAUUCAAUUUAAUACAAAUUUAAUAAAAAUGGACAUUUUUUAAAGAAAACCAUUUCUUCUAUUCAACAUUGCAUAAGAAGUACAUAAACAUUACACACUAUCACCUUCUCCGCUUAAUACAUUUACCAUUACCGUGUCCCUGAAGAUCAAAUUUCAAAUAAUCCUCCAAGAUAGCAGUAAAAGCAUUGAUGUACUUAUCCUUCAUGCUUAUGAUGGCUUCCCUCUCAGCUUCCCAUUCAGCAUGCUCAGUAGCCAUCUCAGCAUCCUUCUCAGUAAGCUUCACCUCCAUUGUAGCUCUCAUCUCACCCCUCACCGAGUUCACGAUCGUCACCACCUCCAACUUCUUCUCGAACUUACACUUAUAGAAAGGACAUUCAAAGUAUUUCUCAAACUUCGACAUCAGUCUCAACGCACGAAACCCGCAAUCGCAUUUCACUUCUUCUCCGUAGUAGGCGAACAAAUCUUUUGACUCAUCGGGACGGUGUAACUUUAACAAAAUGUUCUCCUUGGAACGGCUUGAAGACAUUUUCACGAAGAGGAGGAAGUGAGGAAUACAUAAGUUGGUUGGAGGGGUGAGUUUGUUUCACCCCAAACUGCACAUAUUAACGGUUAUUUAACGGCCGUUUGAAUAUAGCCAUGGGAUAUGAACUACGGUGCGUCUCGCAUUCUAGGAUGGGUCACGCACUGUAAGUCUUGAUAAUGGCCAAAUUAUGUAAUUUACAUUUCCCCUUGACUGUCUACAUAAUUUCCAAUUUAAUUGUGGUUAAAAAAAUUCCCACAUUAAUAUAGCUAGCUAGAUAGUAACGACUAACGACCAAAGUUAAUCUCAAAGUGAUAAAAGGAACUAUAAAUCGGAAUAGAAUAGCAAAACUAAAAACAAAAGUUGAUGCAGAAAUUUGAUUUGCACGCAACCGAAAGAGUACUGGAGGAACAAACCUCGACUAAGUGAUUGAGAUAGACAUCGAUCUUUUGAUGUUGCUAUCUCCGAUCGAGUACGUACCAGAGUUGAAGUGUGGCAAGAUAUCAAUGGUCAGCAGGCAAUUAACCAGCAGUACCACCAUUGUUGUACCAAGGUAAAUAACACACAUCAACACACAAUUCGACACACUUGCAUGCAUGCAAAGACCCCAACUGCGUAAUGGCCCACGAUUGAGAUCGAUCUCCAUCAUUUUCUACAGUAUUAAUUAGUUAAUUACGAAAACAUAUAAAAAGUUGUGUAUUGAACUAUUUAAUUUAAUAAAGAUAUUCAUUAUUAUAACCAAAGUAGCCCCUCUAUUAUUACAAGUUAACAUGAGCUCCUUUAUUAUGUUUUUUUCGAUUCAAACCUCCAAACUUUACUCUGAUUAACAAUCAAACCCCUCUAUAUCUUUUUUGGUCGCCGAAGUCCAUUUUUAAUGAGUCAACGAGUACAUGUCGAUUUAUGGGCUGAUGUGGUAGUGUUGAUUGGGAUUUCCAUAAUUUUUUGGUAAACCCUUUAUUAAAUGUACAUAUUUUUUAUUAUUUUUAAAAAUUUUCCGUCUGAUAUGAAAAUUAGAGCAAUGUAAUCGGGAAAAGAAAAUAUGAGUAUAUCUACCAUAUAUAAAAUGUAUUUUCAGAUUUUAGAAUUUGACACAUCAGCAUAACCGCCCAUUUAGCCUUCAAUCCAUAUUUUUAGGAAUUCCACCAAUCAAAUCUUUCCNNNNNNNNNNNNNNNNNNNNNNNNNNNNNNNNNNNNNNNNNNNNNNNNNNNNNNNNNNNNNNNNNNNNNNNNNNNNNNNNNNNNNNNNNNNNNNNNNNNNNNNNNNNNNNNNNNNNNNNNNNNNNNNNNNNNNNNNNNNNNNNNNNNNNNNNNNNNNNNNNNNNNNNNNNNNNNNNNNNNNNNNNNNNNNNNNNNNNNNNNNNNNNNNNNNNNNNNNNNNNNNNNNNNNNNNNNNNNNNNNNNNNNNNNNNNNNNNNNNNNNNNNNNNNNNNNNNNNNNNNNNNNNNNNNNNNNNNNNNNNNNNNNNNNNNNNNNNNNNNNNNNNNNNNNNNNNNNNNNNNNNNNNNUAAUAAUUCUCGAGAUUAUAAGUUCGAGCAUUGAGGUUCAUAAUUUUAAAAUUAUAUUUUGACAUAAGAAUUAUAAAGUCAUCGGAAUUAACCGCCAAUGAUAUUAAAACAAGAGUAAUUCUUUAUAUCAACUUUUCUUAUAUAAGACUAUCGGGUCUAAGUGUUAUAUCAAUCAUACUUGAAAAUUAUUGAAUGACAUAAAAUAACUUGGUCAUCGGAAUUAACCAUUAAUUGUAUCCUACUAAAGUUAUUAAUUAUAUUUAGUUUUCAUAUAUAAGACUAUUAAAUAUAAGUGAUAUUUGUGGUUGAUUAAAAUUAAUUCUCCAUUAAAUAUGAAAAUCCCAAUCAGUUUCAUAUAUAAUUCUCCAUUAAAUAGUGAUAUUUUUUAUUACAAAUAUGACUAUUAAAAUAUUUAUUUUUUUAAGGUUGAUUAAAAUUAGUGGAAAUCCCAGUCAGCAGCGCUAUAUCAGCUUACAAAUCACUAUGUACGGGCUGACUCAUAAACAACGGACCCCGACGACCAGAAAAUAUAGGAAGGGGCUUGAUUGUUAACCGGAACAAAAUUUAAGGGUUUGGAUCGAAAGAAACAUAAUAGAGGGUCUGUUUUUGGUAUAAUCCCUAUUCUAAUAUGUGACUGAACUAAGGCUUUUAACUAGCAGCAAUGGGCUGGCCGACUGACGUCUCUUCCGCAUUACAUGUUCAGAGGGCACACUUUCACUCAGAGCCCUUAAGGUAAGAAACUUUAAAAAAAAUUUAGGUCAGAAAUGCGAUAUAAACCGUUAAAUUGAUUUAACUUGAUCUGAUAAUAGAUGUAAUAUAAUAUCUGAAAACGAUACCAUUCUAAAAUACCGAAAUUGAGACGGAUACGGAGGUAAUAGUGACAUUGAAGAUGAGGGCCACUGAUUCUACCAAAUUCGGCUCGUUCAUCGAGCAAUAUAAUGCAUUUCUACUCUUAAGGUUUCCCAAAGAAUAUUUGAGGGUGGAUUGUUAAUUACGAGAAACAGGAACAAGGUGGUACACGAACUUGGUAAGUGAUCUUGUUUAGGUGCAUCAUCUUUUAUGCAUCAUGUUUAAUUUUUUCUACUUGAAUGGAUGAUUUAAUUUGAUCUUCCUAUAUUUUUACUGAUUGCAGUUUUUAUUACUGAGAUGGGAUCGAUAACUUGACCUUCAAAAUUACAUAAAUAAUUGAGGGUCUCAUCCGAAUUGGUGAUUUGAAGUAGAAGAAAUUUAAAAUAGCUAAAAUUUUGAAAUAAAAGAAAGUUGGAUGUAUUUUUAAAAUAAAUUAUUUUAAUGUGUGAUUUAUAAAUAAUUUUAAAUGUAAUUAUUAUAUAGAGAGAAAAUAGAAAUAAAAAUAAAAAUAGAGAAAUAUGAAAAUGCUAUAUUUUAUUGUUAAAAUAGAUAAUUUAAGGUUAAAUAUUCAUCGAAUUCGAAAUCAUUUUCAUUUGAUCUAUCCAAAUCAAUCAAUCAAACUACUUUGAGAGUUAACGACACGUAUCAUUUGAUCCAAUGGAUGCGGUUACAGCAGCUGGCUAGUAAUUGAUGUGAUUUCAGGGAGUUUGCUCCCCAACAAGAAAAGAGAACGAGUGAGUAGUUUUCUGUUUGGUUGGUCAUCAUAAUAUAUAAUAUAAAAAAUGGAAAAUGAAAGGUAGGUAGAGAAAUAAUAUAAGGAUCGGAUGUGGUGAUGCGAGCCUGAGGGUCAGUGUCAGUAUCAGGUGCGGUUGCUGGGGAUUAUUAUUAAUUCAUAUCUAACCAUAUAAUAUGCAUGUAUGUUCUUUUGCUGCUGCCACAUCAAGUUUUUUAGAAUCAAUAUAACUACUUUUAAAGUUUCUUUUAUUUUUUAUUUGAAUAAAAUUUUGAGGAUUAUUAUUUGACGCCAUCACUUUCGAAUUAUAUGACGCUCUCAACUUUGUAAAGACGAAACUAUCCAAAUUUACUAAUUCGAAAAAUUUUGUAUCGAUGAAUUGUCAAAAUUUAUAAUUCAGAAAACUUUGUACCGACGAAACUAUCAAAAAUUUUAUUUCGAUAACCUCUCACGGUACGUUUUUCCUUACAAUUCAGUGAACACAAAUCGGGCUCGAUCAAAAAAAUCGGUCGUAAGGGAUCCCGGUCGGAAGCUCGUUUCGGCCGGAGGCAGCCUCGGGCAGCCGGCUGUUUCGGCCGCAGUAAGUUCGCAAGUUGGCUAGGUUUCCCUCCUCUAAAGCCAACACUCGCAGAGGCAUGUGAAGAGCCCGUAGAAGCGAGGUGCAGAGAAGUCGUGUGCGGAGAAGCUAUGUGGGCGGAAGUCUGUGUGUCAUCGUACUCAAACCCCGGCAGCGGACCCUCAUCCUCGUCAUCAUCUUCCGGAUACGACCUAACCGGGUACGUAACACGAGGGUACCGGUCAGGGGAGCCGUAGAUUUUCAACUUAUUGUUCUUCUUCGCUGCCUCUCCCUCUUUCCGCCUCGAAGCGGUGAUCACUCGCUCUUUCAUCCGAUCUAAAAUGCGUGCUUGCUUUCCUUUCCCUCUCAUUUUCUGGAUCUCAUCGGUUUCUUCCUCUACCGGAUCUCGACUGUGCGAUUUACCUCCACCCUUCGUUUUCGCCAUAUUUUUCACCAAACUGCAUUUAAACAAAUGAACGUUUCUAAUAAAUUCAGAUUCUGUUAAACUAGGUUCACUUAGUAUCCUAAAAAAAUCCUAUACCCUAACUAAGAAUUAUCUAAUUUUCCUAAUUAGUCACUAACAAUUAUCUAAAUACACUAAUUACCCACUAACAAUUACCUAAUUAUUCUAAAUAUUCACUAAAAUUCUCUAAUUACACUAAUCAUACCCUAAAAAUUCUCUAAUUACACUAAUCAAAAUAAUUAAAUUCAUUAAUUAAAAAAAGGGCCAGCCGGUCGCUCGUUUCGGCCCAAGCUAGCUGCGGCCGGAAACUCGUUCAUGUUUAUUAAUCUAAUUUAACUUCAAUCUAAUUUAAUUUAAUUUUGUUUUACAAAAUCGGCAUACAUGUUUAUCAUUUCAUCAUUGAAAUAUUUUUUGUGUACAAUGUAUGUAGGGUUCUGAGAAUUGCAACUCACAUACUAUUUACAUCGAGAGAUACACCUAACUACAUUCCGGUAAACCUGUAUCGCAUCCUUGCACUCCAUCCAACCAAAGAUCGAUCGCCGUUAGGCAUACAUAUAUUAUAUAUAUGAACUAAUUAGACACGACACUAGAUUAACUCCACUACCAUAGACCAACUAAAGAAAUUAAAUCAACCUGGAAAACAAAAUACUGCAUGAAUCAAAGAACUCUAAGGAAUAUGAAGAAAUCAACCAUCGGGUGACAUCGAUGGGGUCGACGACAGAGGUGUUGUUGCUAGAUUCGUCACUCUCUGCAAUUCCCCUACGGAGUUAUGUAGAUGUGACCCACCUGGAUGCGAUGGAUUGGAGGAGCCAGAACAGCCCCUCGCACCAAGAUCUCCUCGUCGUCGCUGUUCAAGAGGGUGAGAUCCUAGAUUUCGAUCGUAACUAACUCAGUGAAGGAAGGCGGUGGGUCGGCUAAGGUCUAUGUUGAUCCCGGUCGGUAUAUCACAUCCACCAUGACAGCUGAUGAAACCGUCGGUCCGCCGAGCGAUGAAGGAGGAAACGGUCGAUUACUAUCCGAGGUCCGGUUUGGAUGGUUUAGGGCAGCCGUCGACGAUGGAUUCUUUCGACCAGAGGAUGGAUGUUGGAGGAUGUCAAUUGUUAUUAGCUUCAAACACUGAAGAUGUCGAAAUUUCAAACCGGUGCUGCAACGGCGGACUCCAACUCGGGAGAGGAAAAAAACCCUAACCGAGAGGGAGCUUAACUACGCAUACACAUUCAAUAUAAUUUAAUUUGUUAAUAACUUUUUAAUUAUUUCUCAUAAUAUUAUUGGGAUUAAUCUUUAGUUACAUUUAAUGAAGUUUAAUAUUUUUUGGAAAAACUAUCAAAUAAAGCACAACGUAUAGGUUUAAUUCAGGAUUUGCCUCAUGCUUUUCGAAAUACAUAAUCUAGCUCAGUUUUCAAAGAAUGUUAACGCUAUUAAGUUAGAAUUAACGAAUUUUUUACAGAGGCUGACAUGAAAUAUUCCGUAUCCGACGUAAAUGGAUGGGGAGACAAUAAAAGUUAAUGAAAUACAUAACCAGCACAAUUAAAAAAAUGAAUGGUGCAGAUUCGUCAACCCAUUAGCCUAAUCCAGUUUUUUAUUUUUUCUUCUUUUCCAUUCUUCCUUUUCUUCAAAUUUAUUGAUUCAAUCAAACUAAUCCAACUCCUUUCUCCUUCUUCUUCUCCAUAGAAAUCCUCAUUCCAUUCAAGAACUCCCAUUAAAUCUCUCUGAUUCCCCAACGAAGUGAAACUCUCAAAAUCCUAAACUAUUUCAAUCACUCAAAUCAUUCAUUCAUUCAUAUGUAUAGAGCCUUCAUUAGGUCAAUUUUUUCUGGUUUGAUUCAAAGUGAAACCCUCAAAAUCUUUCUUCUUCUUCGUCGUCUUCUUUGUAAUGAUAAAAAAACACUCACUUUAACUCCACAAUAAUAGCAAGGUCAUUGCUUUCUCAUGUUUUAUCUUCUUCCUUCUUCUUUUUUACUCUUUGUUCCAACCCAAUGAAAUCAAAACAAAACAACCCAAAAAUCCAAUUAACCAACCAAGAAUUUUUCAACCAAAAAGCUCAGAUGAUUGGAAAGAUUUAACCCAAAAAUCUCCAAGUCUCUGACUGGAGAUUAAAACGAAGAAGGAGCGGAUUAUAUCUAACUUCUACAUAGCUAUUUACUUUAAUAGUAGAUCUUUCUCUUAUCCUUACAAUCUCUUCAUGUCUCUCAAUCAUUGUUAAAUUAACUUUUGAAUAUAAGUAACGAAUUUUAUUCAUUUAACACUUUAAAAUUUGGAUGGCGCGGUUAAUCAAACCAAAAUUGGGGUAGCGUUAUGGUGCCACUAAAAUUGAGGUAAACAUUACAAUCAUUGAUGGUUUGAGAGAUAAACAGAGUGUUAAUACUUCAUUUUUUUGAGGAUAUUAUCCUAUAUAUUAUAAAAGAAUAUAUCAAGCGAUUUGAAUAAAAGAACUAAUUCAAUAGAGAUUAUAUACUUCGAAGAGAAAAUUUGAAGAACAUUGGGUGUAAUCUUAUAUGUAUUAUGAUUACUAAAAAUUUCAACAAAACUUAAUUUAGACUUAAUGAGAUAAAUGUAUUGAUUUCAACUUACAAGGUUUGAUUAAUAAAAAAAAGUUCGCUAGAUAGCAUAAAUAUCAGCAGGGUAAUGUUUACCCGCACUUAGUGGAUGCACCGUAGCGUCCAUCUUAACAAUGCCGAUUUAAAACAUCAUAUAUUUAAAAGAUAGUUAAAAAUAAAUAAGUAAACAGGUCGAUUUAAAUAAUUAAAGAUAAACCGGCCAAUAGGUUGGUGAUUACUCUAGUUAUUAAUUAGGCGAAUAAAACCAUGAUAUAUAUGAUCUCUUAUUUAUGGACAUCGUUACGUUGUUCAAUUAUAUUAUGCACCUAAAAAAUACCCUCAUCAGUAUCAUCUAAGCUUUUUUUAAAAUCCAACUGACCCAUCUCACUUCCAAAUGUAUGCGGCUGAUAACAAGAUGAGAUAAACAAGGCGAGAGAGAAAUCCUGCUAUGACAAUAGGAGUUUUUGUUAUCAUAAGACAACAUCAUUAUUUAUCAUUAGAUAAGGUAUUUGUAUUUAAAGGCUAAAAUAAAAAGGAUAAUAACGUAAUAUUAUUAUUAAAUUAGGAUUUUUAUACUAUUUAACAACUCAUCCACCUAAAAUACUAACUACCGCUAGUUUCUUAGUUCUUCUGGCAACCCCCUGUUGAACCUCCUCCUCACGCUACCCAAAUAUAUCUGCUUCCCGUCCUUCCCAAAUCUCCAAUUAUCAUCUCACGAACCCAGACGAGCGAAUUUUACCCCGCCAAUCAAAUACCCACUAGAAUGAUGGAAUCGUAUUUCCCUAGGUUCUUUCUAAUACUAUUACUCAAAUUUAUUAAGCUAACUAAACCAAGUAACAUUAAACGAUUGUUUGUUUGAAUGUUUGUGUAUCCAAUUAUCAACUAAGAACUGUAUUAUAAGAAAGUAAAAUGCAAGUCAUUGAGUUUUAAAGAUAGGAUGUAAGGUUGCUUGGACUUGAAUCCACUAAAGCUAGCAAUGCAUGGAUGAACGAUAUGCAAUCUCAAUUUAACAGGUUAUAAUGGCUUGGCCAUUUCCUCUGAUAACUUUAGAUCACUCUCGCGUCUCUAAGGAUCUAUCCUACUCGAUCGUAGACUCCUCUCUCGAGCUAAUCUACACCCAAGCAGAAUGCACUAAAGGUGUUUGAUGAAAUGCCACAACGAUAAACGAUGCAAAAAGCCUAGAUUAAACGCUCCUCUCUUGAGCAAACGAGUAACCUAGAGUUCUUCCUAAGCGUCCUAUUGAUCUAUGUUCCUCUCGGACCCACAAAUCAAUGACAAUGAUUCAAUCAAGAUGAUCAGACAAGAAAUAAUCGAAAUUAAGUUUUAGCAAAAACACAUCAUUAUCCUGAAUAACAUCAAUAGCAUAAUCAAAGGGUUAAAAACCCAUCAUCCAUACAAAAGCUAAACUAAAGUUUCAUCUAAUCCAAACAACACAAAGAGUUUAGCCGCUCAUGGUUUCGGAAAAUAAAUCACAAGAGAAGAGAAGAAAACCGGAGAAGACACCAUGUUCAUCAUGGAACCCCCAAUCUUCGACUUGAUGAUCUGUCCUUCACAAAUCGUGGUUGAUUCUCUUGCUUCAAUCGUCUCUCUAGAACUCUAACUCUCUCUAAGAGCUCGAAAAUAUGUGUAUUUGAAGUAUAUCUCGUCCAUAGGAGGUCUCAGAGGUAUUUAUAGGCUUCUGGACCAAGUUUGAGAAGGAUUAAGCUAAAAAAUCUUGUCAGCACUUGGGACAUGGUGUGUUCCACUAGGACAUGGCAGUGUCUCUUCUUCUGCAGCUCUCGGUUGUGGGCAUCAAUAGGAGGAACAAGGCCGUGUUCCCUUAGAACACGCCUUUUUCCUUAAGUAUAUGGAAUUUGACCACAGCCUCAACAUAAACAUUGUAGAGAAUCGAAUUAUCGUUCCAACACUGCUGAUCUUGCAUCAAUUGGACUUUUGAGUGAUGAAUUAUGCUCAAAAUACUAAACAGUGACGUUUUUUAAUAAAAAAAUGUAUUGAGUUGUUCCGGGCUCCCCAUCAUGUCUUGAUUCAUCUCUUGAUGUCGUAUGACACUUGAAAUGUACUAAAAACAUGGAAAACAACACCACAUAGCCCUAAAGGGCCACGUGUAACAAAAUAUCCAUAAAACACCCCAAAACGAUCAAAGUGAGACAUCAAAGCAUCCAAACGUUUUUUAAAGCAGGAAUAAUUGUACUAAUAAUCGAACUCAUCAAACCCGUCAUUAGACAAGUUCAUGUUGGCGGAGUCUUUUCUCUCAUUGCCAUCUAAAUAUCAUGGUUGAUCUGCUUGUUUUCUAUUUAUUGGCGACUUUUAGACACUGCUACAACACCGGAUCGCACGUGGGGAGGAGUUUCAUAUCAGGAGAAGAUAAGCGGGAAGCCAAAGCCGUAGUUUGCAUUGCGGACAACCAUCUGAUUUUUAGAAGGGAAUUUGAAGGAUGUUGCGACAUCAUCAUCAAUUUUAGGGAGAGUGUUAGAAGUUUGAUGACUUCUUUGUAAUUUGUCGUAUUGGUAAUUGCAUUGAUGUUAGGGUUGACAAGGGCGGGCUAGUAUAUAUAUGAUUGUUGUGUUUCCGAACGCGGCUGAAUAAUAUUGAACUCUACCAUUGUGCCGUCGACUAGUCUCAACGAUCAUCAUUGAGGAAACCACGUAAAUUUUGUGUAAUUUGAAAUUUAAUUCUUUCUAUUUUUUGCCCAUCUCUAUAUAUAUUUCGAGUUUUACUUUGUGCAGUCCGUAAAAUUACUAUUAUAUUCUUAGUAAAACACAUAUUACUAUUUUGCUAAAUAACUCGUAUCGUAUUAAUCAUCAAUGGUGGAUACAAAAUUCUCCAACUUUUCGAAAAUCUAAGAGUUUAGCAAUAUCGUUUCCGAAAAUCUCUCUUUUCAUCGAUUCGCUUUUUUAUAAAACUCUAAUCGUGUUGAUAAUUAAUUUAAUAGAAGUAAUAAAUCUAUUUAUUAAAGACAUACUAAUCUAUUUACAAUAUAUAUCCUCACUCAUAUUUUUUUUAUCAAACAGAAGCACCUCCUGUCUUGUUGGUUGACUUAAGCAUUGACGAGUGAAGUUCUCUGGCAAGUGGCUCCAUGUACAAUGAAUGGUUAACAGUUAGCUCGCCAUCUCCACUUCCAGUAACGUAAGAUUGUUUGUAACAGCUGUCACAGUGAGCUUGAUAGAAGCCAGAUCAAUUACCCCCUCCGACUGCUGAUUUCAUAUUAUCAACUCCUAUGGGAUUUUAGUCAAUAUAUAUACAACGAUCCUGCUCAUCUGAUAUACCUACUCCUGAUUGCAUGAAACAUUACAGGCUCCCUUUUUGAAUCCCCACCACUACCAACGUCGUCCAACAACAUUCUUUGCUUUUCAGCUUCUUUCUCUGCCUUUCUCUUUUCGUAUUCAACUCGCUUGCAGUUUUCUUCGUGUGCCCGCGCCAAAAUCCUCGCAAAGUUGAGCAGAGUAGAGACAACUGCAUGCAAAAUCAACUUUGAUCCCCCCAAGAACAUAAAAGAGUAUGCAUUGAGAAACGAAGGAAUGUGAUUAUUAACAUGCUAUAUACCUUGCUCAAAUGGGCAGCGGGUUGGAUCUUCACCGAAAUAUAGAGCUAAUGCAUCUGCAUUUCUACCCUGUGAAACACACACACACACACAAGUUCACAACUUUGCCAAGAGAAAUAUGCAUAUUUCUUAAUAGUGAGUACAAAUUUUCAACACUUACGACAAUUGAAUAGAGCGACGCCAAGGAUUUCACUUCGCCUUCUGCAUAACUCAAGAAUGCUCUCAGGAUCUGGAAAAAAUGUAGGGCAGAAUGGGAUCAUAUAUAUAUGACAAAGUAGCUUCAGCACAUAGCUGGACUAGUUGUCUACAGCAAUUGUAAAAGCAAAAGUAUUACCUUGCAGAAGUAUUCCGAAACUGCACCAUCAUUCUCUGAGGCAACCAACUCCUGUAUAACUUUUUCCAGACCUCUGCUAAUGGCUUGCAUCUCCUCAGCUAAAUACUUCAGUUGUAUCUGCAAAGGAAUCACGCGAUUUAAACUCAACAGUAGCCAGAAAGCCUAGUUAUGAUUGGUGGAUUCCAAAACCAAUAUAGUUUCUUUGAACACAAAAGAGAAACAAAAAAAAAGAGAGUACUUUUGUUGCAGCCUCCAAGCUCACUAGAUCCUUGGAGAAGUCUAGUAAUUCUGGCAGCUUUUCAGCAAGUACCUAUAGCCAAAGAAGUUAGAGCACAAGUCAGAUGGGUAGGGUAGGGUAAAUAUGGAAGCUAUAAAUGUAUACAACAUUCUAAGAAUAAAACUUGAAGUUAACACCCCGCACCUUGCAAAGAUAAUGCAUGAGAGUUAUCUUAUUGUUCCUAGAUCUUGUAUCUGUGAGUUUGAGUAGACUGUCCAGUCGAAAUCCAACAGCAGAACCUAGAGAAUUUGCACACAUAGGCUCAGCCAAAAGUUCAAACUUGAUCACUUGCUGAAGCAUUAAGAAACUCUACAGACUCACCCCUUGCAGUUCCUUGGUUCAAAGCAUUUCCAAGGGAUAGAACAGACUGCAUGAUCCUUUUGAACUUUUUUGAGCUUCUGAUCUGUGAAUACCGAUUGUUGAUGGUGUUGUAAGUUAAAAUGGUCCAAGAAUAUGCCAAUUGAUAAACCAGAAAGUAGGAAGAAAACAAAUGACAUGCCUCUUCAGCCGCUGAAUUCACAACAUUCAAGUUUCUCCUCAGGUCAGAAACCUGAAAUAUAAUAUGUUCCAACAUAACAGCACAAAAUUGUUGGAUGAAGGAAAAGUAAAAAGUCAAAUAAAACCCACUCUGAUUUUCCUCUGACCUGCUGAGAGAACUGCAUCUUGAACGAGAACACCCUUAACUUUGACUCUACACGUUGCACUUUCAUUAACUCCAAGAAGAACUGUCAUGAACAUGUACAGAUCUACUAAAUGAAACUAAACGGAUUCGACCCCCAAGUUAUCAUGGAAUUUAAAAGCGUCACGGAAAUCCACCUGUUCACAUUUUCCCAAGCUUUCCUUGUCUCCUUUAUAACCCUGCACAUUGAAAGAUUCGAGUUUUUGUUAUUAUCUAUCAGAAAAUUUUGAUAAAGAAAGAUGCUUUGCACUUGAUUAGAGUACCUUGAGCAAUUCCAUCUCUUCUUUCGUGGGGCAAAACUUAACAAGGCUAUCGACUUGAUCAACAUCCAAUACUGAAUCAUCCAAAGCAAGGACUGAACUCUGGAUAUGUUCGAUGGACAAGCAAUAGUAUGAGAAAUUAUCUACUUUGACGGUUAAAAUGAUUGUGUUGGUAGUAAUGUUAUCAAUCUUCAGCACAUCAUAAUUCUAACUUCUAAGCAAUCUUAUUUCCACUGUCAAUUUAGUCCCAGAGUAAGGGCAUUCCUGCCACCUAGCUUUUAGCAGCAUAAAUUUCACCAACUUUUAGAAACGGGUCGACUUACUGUCAGCUCAUGCAGAGGGAUUUUAACUUUUGUAAGCAUGAUCUCGCAGUUAUAUGCACGUCUGAGCUCAAUCUGCAGAAAGUAAGGAUUCUUUAGUAAGCAUUAUUAUUAUACAUUAAAAGGAAGACAGAAGAAGAAAUAAUGUGCUAAUUAACAAAGCAGAAACAACAAGAAUUUACCCAAAAAAAAACAACAAGAAUUACCAGUUGAACUUUGUCAGUUUUCAGUACCGAGGUGCGGCGCUUUGAUUUAACUCCAGUGCCUUUCAUAUCAGAAUUUAGACUAGUUGAUGAAAACAGGCUCUCAAGUUCAGAUAUAUCAAAUUCAGGAGUCCUGUCAAAAGAGAAGAAGGAACAAGAAGGAAAUGAAGUGGGCAAUGAUAAAACUUAGGCAAUUUGAAGCACAUAGUUAAAAAUGUGAAGCGCUAUAAUACAUGAAGGUGUCAUUGGACUUGUGAGCCUCAGCCCAUAUACUUCCUUGAGUGACUCUUGUCAAUUUCAACCAAUGAUAUGGCUUCAGGCUGGCCUUUCUAGUUUGCACCUGGUUUCUUGAGCGUCGGUCCUUUCCCCCGAAAGAUGAAAGUGAAGGUGGCCCUGGAGCUGGAGGAGGGGCAUUCCUGUUUGUAGUAGCUCCAAAGCUAGCUUUUGUUAAUCCCUUUGCGGAAGGAGCAGGUGGUGGUUGUGGCAUUGAAGGAACAUCUUCAGAAUUGAUAGAUAUAUUAUUUUGUUUCUUCAUAGGAGGAGUGGGUGGCAAUGGAACUGACACAGGAUGCAGACAAGGUCUAGAGAUGACUGACAAGCUCUUGAAAGGCUGUGAAGAGUGAUCUAAUUUACUGGAAACAACAUGCUUAGCUGAAGGAGAAAGGCUCCUUCCACUGUUAGAAGGUGGGAAAGCAACUGUCUUUUGACUUGAUGCUUUCCAAAGAGAAAGUGGUGGUGGUGGUGGAGCAGGAGGAGCUGCUGAUUGCCUAAAUGGAGACGAACGUAAAGCAGGUAAAGGAGGAAGGAGAGUGGUGGGGCUGAGAGUUUUACUGGCUGGUUUUCUUAUGAAUGCUUUAGAAACUGAAGGUAGUGGUGGAGGAGGUGGUGGUGCUGGUGGUGAAAACUUAACCAAAGGUGAUCUAUAUGAAUUUGAAAGGAAAGGAGGUAAAAGUGGAGGAGGGGGGACUGGAAAUUUAUCAAGUUUUCUUAUUGGAGGUUCGGAAUGUUCAGUGGACGACUCAUCAGUUGCAUUUAGAGUUGAUAGAGCAGGAGCUGCAGAAGCUUUCUCUGUACAUUCAGAUGCUUUAACAACAGAUUGGGAGGACGGUGGAGAUUGCUUCACAAAUUUACCCACAUUUGUAACUUGAGAGGAAACAGCAGUUGGACUCAAACUGACUGAACGUGGACAUUCAUGAGUAGUAGGCGGAGAAGCAUGAUCGUGUAACAAUGCUGUAAUACCAAGGCCUGAAAAGGCGGCUGCAUUAGGAUAUCUUGACACAGUAAUUGACGAUCCUUGCGAGAGAUUAGUAGCUCCUGGAGUUUGAGGGAUUCUAGGGGUUAUGAUCUUUGAUGGAGCAGGCACUUUGAUUAACACACACAUCCCUUGUUGUUCAUUACCCGUCCCUUGUAAAUUAGUCUCCGAAGAAGAAGAUGCUUCUACCGACUUUGCAUCUGAAGGUGGCUCACUAGACAACACUGUCUUAGAUGCAUCAUGAAUUGGUUCUGGAAUCUUAGAUUGCAUCACUGUAUCAAUUGAACCAACGUCAUUGGAUUCCUCCAGAUCUUUGACGGAUACUGCCUUAGGAUAAUGGGAUUCUUUAAUCUCUUUAAUAACUAAAUCAGUUGGAGCAGCAGCCUCCAUUUCUGAGAACAUAACCUUUUGAUCCACCAUAUGAAAACAAACCAAAAGACCAUCACUUGCUUCUAGAUUCAUGGAAAGCAUAUUGUACAGCAAAUUAAAAACAACUGCAACAUACCUUUACGUUGAAGUCCUUAGGUAACUUAUCAAAGUUCCGUAACGUAUCAAUCUGUUCGCGAGUAAGAACCAAAACCUUUGAACUUACAAAAGCUGUAUGAAAUAUAACCCUGAACAUCAUGACGUCCUCUCUUUCCUUAACACUGUCCAAGCCAACACACUCUAUCACAACAUCACCUUCCACAUUGCAAUCAAUUUCAACCUUCACCACUUGACAAUCAGCCUGCACUGACACAAAUAGAAAUGAAGUUAAGGAAGAAUGACUUCAACUUGAGCACAAAAAGGAGCCAUAGUUAACAGCUCUUUACAACCUUCUCGUAAUGCUGGCUCCCAAAUAGCAGUUUCGGAGCCUGAUCUUCGUUAAAAGAGUCGCGACCCAUAAUCCUGAACGCUGGCUUACUACAGCAUCCAUCCAUGUUUAGAGCAAGUGCAAGAACAAUGCAUUCCAGUCUAAGUGUUCUAUUCAAUGGAGGAGGCAACUGAUACCCCACAUUCCAGGACACAUACUCUAGAUACCGGAGUUGUGAAGGGAGCGGAUCAAUGGAUCCACUUGCCAACAACAACAGCUCUCGAGGCGCUUGCUCGUAUAUCGAUUGUAAAGCCCAGUGGUGGUCUGAGGUGCAUUGUUGCUUCUUCCUAUGUAUGAGUAGAGCGGCAAGCAUGAAAGCCAUAGCGGGCCAACCACAAGGCUCGCAGUGAAUCAAGAGGAGAUUGUGCUGUCCAGCAGACAACCAGGUCUGUGCGGAAUUAAGGAAAUGAUGGAUCAUAAGCAUUGGGGGUAAAGGACAACCUGCGUAGUGAGAUGAAUAAUAUUCCACCACAGUCAUGGUGUCGGAUUCAGACAAGAGGCUAGCAGCCAUGUGUCCCUUGUCCCAGAAGCUAAACACCAUGAAUGAGCAAGAUUCAGGGAAGUUCUGUUUAAGCUGCUGAUGAUCCACAAUGCUUCUACUCGUGUGAAGUUUUGUAUCAUCUUCUUCAUCAUCAGUUCCAAGACAGCUGUCGAAAACUGUAAUAUAAAAUAGAGCAAUUACUGAGACUAGAGAAACUGAAACACACAGAAUUUAAGGGAAAAUCUCAAAACGGCUGAAACGCCCAAGAGAAGGGGAAAUGAACUGAAAACCACAGCUAGUAUUUUACCAUAAACCCUUUCAGAGAUCUCCAAGAGAGUAGUAGAAGUGUGGGUUUUGAACUUGUUCAACAGAGCCAUUGGAAUGGAAUGGAGGAUGUUUUUCUUCUCUGUGGUUCAGUAGCUAAAAAUAAAACUAGGAAGACGAAGCAGCAGAUGCAGUUGUCGGAACCCACAUUGUGGGAAAAAGGAAAAGUAGAGGAGAUGGAGGAGGGAAGUCUCUGCCUCGUGUAACAUGGGAAAAGGUAAUGAUUCACAUUUUGGGUUUUCAUUUGUUUUUUGUGCUGAUUUCUUAAGAAACCAUCUUCCUUCCCAGCAGGCCUUAUUCUUCUUCUCUCUGGGUAGUUGGUGUUCUGCACGUACUGCUAAUGUGGGGGUUGAUAAAAAAAAAAGGAAGAGACUUUGCUUUCAAUUUCAAUCAGCAGACAGUUGCUGCUGCUGCUGCCAAUGUGGGGGUAAUGGGUGGUUUCGACAGGUGGGAGAGAUGGAGAGGACAAAGAUUUUAUAGUUAGUUGGGGUUGGUUUGAUAACUGAAUGUGGCAAGUAGAAUAGAAUCCAAGGAAGGAAGGAUCUUAUUAUCAUCUUUCAGUGCAGUAUGUUCUCUCUAGAUUUGUGAGUUUCGACUCCAUUUCUCAUAUUAUUAACAACUCAUUUAUACACUUCAUCUGCACUCAAAUGAAAACUGUCUCUGGUUUACUUUAUUGUAUCUAAAAAUUAAAUCUUUUUGCUCUUUUCCUUUCUUUACUUUACUCAUUGAAUUGAACUUUUGUUUAGGAGAGCCACGUGGGUCGUCGUUGCAGGUGCUGCUAGUGGAAGAGGCAGAGGGAACAUUCUUUGGACGUACUCCUUCACCCUUGUGGACUGACUGGGUUGUACGAAUGUUUAUGUUAGCUGGCCUCAUCACAUAAGCUUAGCAAUAUUACAAAAAAUGGCUCAACUUAUUGGAAAUACAUUUGAUAGCCCGGAUUGUAUAUUUUUGUAGCAAAAGUUAGUCAACGUUACAAUUGACUGGAUGUUAGAGUUAACCGAAAACUUGAUGGUGUUACAACGGAACGAAACAGUGUUGACUGGACGAGACACCUUCAUGUCACAUUGGCGCCACGUCAGUCAAUGUUAGCAGACGAGAAAAGAAACAAAUCAUACAAUGAGAAACGAACCGAUUUCAGAAAUCAGUCAUCGGAAACAAUGACACAUCAACGACUGAACUAUUAUGUGAAUGUGAGAAACUUAUAAUAUGUGCACAAACAGAGUUUGCAUAGAAAACCAUGUUUGUUUUUCUACUUGGGUUCAAACUCUAGAAUUUUGACAAGCUUAUGCCCAUUGUCUGUCAUUCCACUGAACUUUUCUACUAGCUUUAUGCGGCUGUUUAGACAUCUCAUUUUUAAUUUUCUCAGAGACCACACAUGAAAUGGAUAGACGGAGCAAAACUGCUCGAUCAAAUUUGGGCAAAAGGCUAAAAAUAGAGCAGAGUUGAGGACUGUUAGAAUAAUGUGGUGAUUGAUAUGCGAGGAUAAAAUAUUUGGAUGAUUAAUUUAUAAAAUGGCAAAAUUUGUUGGAUUGGAAAGGUAAUUUGACAAAGAAAGUUUAGAAUUUGCAAAGAAGUUUUUUGCUUCACCUUAUUUCGGUUGAAGCUGCUUCUGCAUUCUUUUUCCUUUGUUUUUCAUUGAUUUUUAGUUAAAAUUUAUAGUUUGAAUAAUACACAAAUACAUUAAGUUUUAUAUAGCCUUUACAUGUGAGAAUAAGACAAGAACAUAUUAAUUACAAUCUUAUCUUAUCUAACUAAUUUGAAGGUUAAUCAUGAACUUUGUUGGUGGUUUGAUUUAAUUGUGUGUUGGUGUUUGUGGUGGCUUGGUUGAAAUUAUUGAAGAUGAAAUGUAACUUGUUGAAGCUUCACUUUUCAAUACUCCUCCUUUUGAAGCUUCGACGUUGUAUUUCGAGUAUAUUUCAAAAUUGUUGAAACUUGUUUCGUGAAAGAGGUUUUGUGAAUUUUUGCAACUUGUUUCGUUUGAUCUGUUGUGAAUCAACAAAAACUUGAUGUGUUCCUUUAGUUUGUCUGAUGAAAUGAUGUUUUACCUUGAUGUGCUUGGUUUUGUAAUUGCAUGAAUCCGGAGAGUAAACUUGCAGCAUAUAUCAGGUAAAGUCUGGUGACUGUGAGGUAGAGUAAACUUCCCAUCAAACUUCUGUUUUGCUUCUCAUCCGUUGAUGUAUAGUGAUGUGUUGUAUUUUCGACACCAUUUUUUGGGUGGUAAACUAUGUUUUCAUGUUUUGAAACGUAUUCAAACUCAUGAUUUUUAGCGCAUGUUUAGUUCUCCUGCCCCUCGGGGCCAUAUUACGUUGUUCUGGAUAUUUUUGAUGCAUUUUCAGGUGAUAUACGACGUUCGGGAUAAGCGGGAGCGAAAACGGGUGAUUUGAGCUGUUCGGGGCAAACUUUUGAAGAAUUGGGGAGGAACACGGCGUGUCCCUCCUUUGGAAUUGGCCGAGGAUGUUACAGGGGCGGAACACGGCGUGUUCUACCCCGGACGGAUUUUAAGUCCUUUUCCAUCUCCAACUUGGACCGAAAAAUCUUUAUAUAGCCGAGCACCUCUUUGCACGAAAUCAUCAUUCAUUCUAAACAUAAUUUUGAGUCAUUAGAGACAGAGAGUUCUUAAGACCAGUUGGAACAAGAGAACUUCAACGAUUGACGAAGAAGCGAAGAUCGGCGACAGGAUUGAGAAUUCUCGAUGGAACAUGUUGUCUUACCGGGUUAUUUUCCUUUCUUUUUCCCUUCUUGCUUUCCAAACCAUGAGUAGCUAAAAUUUCCGUGUUGUUCGGAUGAGAUGAAGCUUUAGUCAAGCUUUUGUAUGGAUGAUGGGGUUUUAUCCCCUUGAUUUGUUAUCGAGGUUAUUCAGACUUAUAAUGUGUUCUUCCUAAAACCUAAUUUCUGAUUCAAUUUUGUCUGGCCUUCUUGAUUGAAUCACCGACAUCCAUUUUUGGGUCCAAGAGGAAUAUAGAUUGAUAGGUCGCUUAGGAAGAACCCUAGAUUAUUCGUUAGCUCGAGAAAGGAGCGAAUCAUUAGACUUUUUGCACCGUUUAUCGUUGGUGGCGUUUCAUCGAACACUUUUAAUGCAUUUUUUUCGGUGUAGAUUAGCCCGAGAGAGGAGUCUACGGUUAAGUGAAAUAUAUCCUUAGAGGCGCGAGAUUGAUCUAAGACUACCAUAGGAAAUUGCCAAGCCGUUAUAACCUAAAUAAUCAAGAUAACUUGUCUUUCAUCUACGCAUUGCUAGCUUUAGUGGAUUCGAAUCCGAGCAACCUUCAUUCCAUAUUUGAAACUCAAUCUCUUGAAAUUUUUUCCUUUAAUUUGCAUUCUUAGAUAUUAAUUGAUUACUUAAAAACAUGCACAAAAACAAUCAAACUGUUACUUGGUCUAGUUAGUAAUUCAAUUUGAGUAAUAGAAAUAGGAAGACCCUAGGGAAAUUAACGAUCCAAUUAGAGCAACCUAUUGGGUAUUUAAAAGUGGGGUAAAAUUCGCGCUUCGUAUAGCUGUCUUUUUUUUUAUAGUUUGAGGUUUACCUCACUGUAACAUUGCAUUCUUUAUAUUGAGAUGCUUGUUGCCGUUGACUCUCUUUUGUUGAGAUCGUGUUAUUAGAUCCGAACUUUAAUUUUUCUCGAUCUUCUUUAGCUCCUCUUUCUUUGUAGCAUUUUUUUUUGUCUUGUUGGAGAAAGACUAUCACGUCUUUAAUGAUCUUUCAAAGACCGUUAGCUAUGAAAAUCAUUUGCAUUAGGAACGACUAAUCGUCGUAGUUUUCACCUUUGAGUAUUGUAGGUGAAGGUAAGGAAAUGCUUGUGGAGGUCAUUGUGGUGAUUUUAGGCAAAAUGUAAUUUUUUGGUGGAUUGUGGAAUAGGUAAGGUAAUUUUUAUGGAAAUAAUUUUUGGCUCGUCAGAAUAAUUAGGGCUCUGAUAUUAUGUUGGAUAAUGUGGUGAUUGAUAUUUGAGGAUAAAAUAUUUGAGUGAUUAAUUUAUAAAAAGGCAUAAUUUGUUGGAUGGGAAAGGUAAUUUGAUAAAGGAAAUUUAGAAUUUGCAUAGAAGCUUUUUGCUUCACCUUAUUUCGGUUGAAGCUAUUUCUGUGUUCUUUUAUCUUUAUUUUUCAUCCUUGGUUGAAGUUUGUAGCUUGAAUAAUACAGAAAUACAUUAAGCUUUAUAUAGCCUUUACAUAUGAGAAUAAAUAAUCCGAAUUUCUUUGAGUGUAACUCGUUGAAGGAAUCAAUAAUAAACCUAUUUCCUUUCAUAAUCGCAACAGGUGUCUAUAAAAAGUUUGUUUUGAAGGAGGAGACUUGAGGAGUCUAUAUUUCUCGGAGUGUAACUCGUUGCAGGAAUCAAUAAUAAACCUAUUUCCUUUCAUAAUCACAAUAGGGGUUCGGCCGCCAUCAAUGGUCUAGGGGAAUCGACAUGCCUUGUUUGGCUGACAUUCACCAUUACUCGAUUCACAGAUUUACACAAUGUAACCGCCUCAAGCUCGUUCGUCUCUGAAGAAACAUUUUGGGGAAGCCGCCGCUGGAGACGUCUGACGCCCGCCGUCACUCGAUUGAUUUCCUCACGUAACACCUUGGCAUCAGAGCCAAUGAUUAACCAGCCUAUCGAUGCAACCAUGACGACUACAAACGAUUGGAUCAAUUGGAAGAGACGGCAGCACACACAACUCUUUUCGACACCCUCACCAACACCAUCCAUGACCUCCAACAACGCGAGCAGCAACACCAUGAUUGGCUACCGUGAUAGCUCAAUUGGCUACCUUGCGGCAAGUGCAACCACCACAGCGAGCGGUUCUGGUUCAUGAACCACAUUGAACCCCAGGGCCUCAUGCUCAUAUCUACUUUCCUAAGUUUGUGGGGGAAGGAUAUCCUACGACUUGGAUUUUCCGCGCCGAACAAUUUUUUGCAUUCUAUCACAAUCAAGAGGCGAAAAAGGUGCUACUUGCUUCGAUAUAUCUCGAAGAUGAAGCACAAUUAUGGCUCCAAGUGUAUAGGGAUGCAGGCCAACUACCCUCAUGACAAGAGAUGAAGGCGGGACUCUUAUCUAGUUUCGGGCCAAAUCAGUUCGAGGAUUCGGGGAAUUGAUGAAACUUCGACAAAUUGGAACCGUGCAAGAGUAUCGCACCGAAUUUGAGAGGUUUCUCAUUCGGGCCGGAAGAAUGUCUCUACCUCAACACGAUAGCUGCUUUAUAAGUGGGUUGCGACCUAAAGUUCAGACGGAUGUACAGGUAUACUUGCAGGAGACGGUCACGGCUGCCGUCGGCCUAGCUCGAUUGUAUGAGGCGAAACUCCGAAAGUUGUCGCCGCCCUCGGAUUUGAGACCAUCUGCCAGACUAAUUGCAGCUCCCAAUCAGGAUCAUCAGAUGGUUAUCAAAAGGUUGACACCAACCGAGAUGCGGGAACGGACCGAGAAAGUCUUAUGCUAUAAUGCGAUAAACGGUUCUCUCUCGGGCACCGUUGAAGCAUCUAUUUUUCUUGGAUUAAACGGAGGAUGAGGUAGUAACGGAGAUCAACCAAGAUCCUUUCAUUGAUCUGGAAAAGGGAGAAAGAAGAAACAUGUGUACUAUUUUUGUAUACGCACUCUCUGGUGCCGCUCCUCCUCGAACCAUGAGGGUCAUUGGUUAUAUCCUUGGGGUACCCAGACCAUUCUUCUUGAUUUUGGUGCAAAUUAUAACUCUUUGAGCUCACGGGUAGCCCGCCGGUUGGGUCAAGAGUUGGAUCGAAAUCCUCAAACAACGGUAACAGUGGCCAAUGGAGAUCCAAUUGUUAGUCCCGACCGUAUUUCUGGUCUCAUGUUGAAUAUUUCAGGGAUAUACUCAGUGGCAGAUUGUAGUUUGCUACCCUUGUCUGGAUGUGAUGCAGUGUUGGGGGUGGUAACGUUGCCAGCCUUAGGCCUAAUCCGCAUGGAUUUUGAAUCCGCACGAUGAACUUUAAUUAGGAAGGACGCCCAAUUCAUUUACAAGGGUUAAAGGUUUCACCGCUGCGUUGGGUUGAUGAAGCUACAGUUGUCAAGGAAGUACACAAGGUAGGAGAUGGGUAUGUGUUAUAUGCUUGCUCUGAUCUGGUUGAUGAAGGAAGCAAACCAUCUGACCCGAAGCUUGACGUCUUAUUGUCCCAAUAGGAGGAGCUCUUUCGAGAGCCGACACCACUGCCUCCACCGCGUUCCGAACUCAUCAACGGCAUUAUGAGUUUCUCGUCAUACCUUUUGGCUUGAAAAAUUCCCCGUCGACUUUCCAAUCGUUAAUGAACAAGGUAUUUCGACCUUAUCUGAAUAAAUUUGUGCUUGUCUUUUUUGAUAAUAUCCUUGUGUAUAGCCCGCCCAAAUCUACACAUGUCUCUCACUUGGAAUUGGUCUUCAAAGUUCUUCAUGCCCAUCGACUCUACCUAAAAUGUGAGAAGUUGACCCUCUUUACAACUAGUAUGCAUUAUUUGGGACAUUUAAUAUCUAGCAUAGGAGGGGUAGCCUAUCCUGAAAAGAUACAAGUUAUGGUCGAAUGGCCUCGACCCCACACUCCGAAGGAACUUUGAGGAUUCCUUGGUCUAAUGGGUUACUAUCAAAAUUUAUCCGUGAUUAUGGCAAGGUGACAGCUCCUCUAACUCAACUCCUACAGAAGGGAAGAUCUGAUUGUCAUCCAACCGCAGACGAGGCUUCUGACCAGGUUAUGACUCAAGCACCGGUAUUAGCUCUCCUUGACUUCACUCAACCAUUUGUUAUCGAGUGUGGUGCUAGUGUGAUUGGUCUUGGGGCAGUAUUGAUGCAAGCACAACGACCAAUUGCUUUUUUCAGCCAGGAAUUGUGUGGCCGCACUCUUCAAUUGGCUACGUAUGAGAAAGAGAUGAUCGCCUUGGUCCUUGCUGUAAGAAAAUGGAGGUCGUAUCUAUUAGGUUGACACUUUGUGGUUCACACAGAUCAACAAAGUCUCAAAUACCUCCUUAAGUAGAAGAUUACUACAAAUACCCAAGAGAGAUGAUUGACCAAGUUGUUGGGAUAUGAUUUUUAUAUCAAGUAUAAACAAGGCAGUGAAAACAAGGUGGAAGACGCCUUCUCUCGACAGUGGGAGAUAGCUGCCAUCACUACUCUGGUGCCCUCGUGGAUGGAUACGGUGCAAGAUGAAGUAAAAAAAUGGUGAUACCUUGCCAACUUUGAGCAACAACUGUUUGGAGGGAAAAUUUCAGACAAGUGGACGGUAAAACAUAGCGUAUUGUACCAUCAUGACCUCAUUUAUCUCCUUCCUACAUCAGCACUUGUACCUGUCAUCCUCCAAGAAAUGCACAACUCAACACAUGAAGGAGUUCACAAAACCACCUACCGAAUAGAAGAAGUGUUUUAUUGGCGCAACAUGCAUAAUGACAUCAAAUCAUUGAUUCGACAAUCCCUUGUGUGUCAACAAAACAAAACCGAGAAUCUAAAGCCAGCUAGGCUGCUUGACCCAUUCUCCAUUCUAAUAGAAAUCUGACGGGAUAUCUCCAUGGAUUUCAUCGAAGGUCUAACGAAAUUCCAUAUCAAGAAUAUGAUACUUUUUUGGUUGUAGAUCGACUCUCCAAGAUGGCACAUUUUUUCCCUCUUACACACCCAUACACAACGGUGACAGUUGCAGGUGCAUUGUAACACCCCCAACCUUUUUCGACAAGAUAUUGUUCGCUUUGGGCAUAGCUAAUCCCUCAUGGAUUUAAUUUCAGGUGUAUAACAGUGACUUCCCAGGAGGUCACCCAUUUCUGCACUGCUCCCACCUGAGCACGUUUAACUUCAGAGUUCUUACCAAGAACUCCUCGAUUUCACCCCGAAAGCGCGUCUUGUGUUAGAGACGAAUUCUUAGUUAUAGCCCAUGGAUCUCUCCCGUGCUUUGUCGAUGUGGGAUUUUCCUAAGGUGUUAUAUUACACCCCCCCCCCCCCCCCCCCCCCCUCCACCCCCCAUAUGUCCUCUGCGACCUCUACCCCCCCCCCCCCCCCCCCCGGCCCGGGGGAGAGAUCCAUGGGCUAUAAGUAAGAAUCCAUCCCUAACUGACAAGAUGCAUUUUCGGGGUGAAAUGGAGGAGUUCUUGUUAAGAACUCUGAAGUUAAACAUGCUCAGGUAGGAGCAGUGCAUAAAUGGGUGACCUCCUGGGAAGUCACUGUUUUGCAGCCAAAAAUAAAUCCGUGAGGGAUUAGCUAUGCCCAAAGCGGACAAUAUCUUGUCGGAAAAGGUCGGGGUGUUACACGCGCUAUACACUGGCGUCCUCAAGCUCUACAACAUGCCCGCUAUCAUAGUUUGUGACCGAGACCCCACCUUCACAAGUCCCUUUUGGAUUAGGCUCUUCCGCCUCCAAGGGAAAGCUUUAAUUUCAGCUCUGCAUAUCACCCACAAACUGAUGGGCAAACGGAAGCUGUGAACAAACAAAUUGAGAUGUAUUUAUGAUGCUUCUCCGGUGAUCGACCAAAACAGUGGAUGACGUGGUUGUCAUAGGUUGAUUUCUGCUACAAUACAAGCAUCCACUCCACGACUCGCCGCACUCCAUAUGAAGCGGUCUAUGGGAAAGACCCUUCAACCACUCUUUCUUAUGUUCCCCUCAAUUUUAUGGCCCAUACCAAGUGAUUCGGCAUAUCGGCAAGUUGGUGUAUGAGCUGCAGUUACCCCAAAUGCACAGGGGUGCAACCAGUUCCUCCACCUGGAGAAGAUAAUGUUUUCGAUACACACACACACACACGUCGGGGGAGACUCGAAGUCCUUGUCCACUGGAGCCACACGUCACCCGCAGAUACAACCUGAGAGAACCACGACAAGUUAGCGCACCAAUUUCCCACAUUCUUGCGAAAAAGAAUGUUUCGUAGAAGGGAGGCAUGUUACGUGGAGAUCCAUGUCGGCACCGUCAUACCUGCCAUGUCAACCGCAAGCUUAUAUAGUUUAUUAUAUUUAAUCAAUUAUCCUUGUUUAUUAUUUAUUCGGAUUGAGAUUGUUAGAGUCAUAAUCGAAGUAGUAGUUUAGCUGUUAGCAAGAGUUGGUUUGAAGGAGGAGACUUGAGGAGUCUAUAUAUUUCUCUGAGUGUAACGCUUGAAGGCAUCGAUAAUAAACCUAUUUUCUUUCAUACUCAUACCAGGGGUUCGGCCGCCAUCAAUGGUUUAGGGGAAUUGCCAUCCCUUGUUUGGCUUUAUCGACAUUCACCAUUACUCGAUUCACAGAUUUACGCUGCGUAACCGCCUCAAGCUCGUUCGUCUAUGAAGAAACCCCUUUGGAAAGCCGCCGCUUGAGACGCUCGACGCUUGUCGUCACUCGAUCGAUUUCCUCACGUUACACGUGAUGACGCUUCCAUUUGUCGAUGCUACGAGAUACUCUUAGUGUAGUUCAUUACCUUGCCAUGACGCUUUCGGACAUGGCCUAUACUAUCAUUAGCCUAUCGUAUCGUAACAUAUGCAUGCCAAAACCAAUACUUAUUGGCAACAACUAAAACGGGCGUUAAGAAUAUCUUGCCAGCACAUCCAACCUGGGUCUUCACAUUCAACCACUCAUCCCCUUGUUGUGAUGCCCAUGAUCGACGAUCCACAAUCGACUAUGUCAUCUAUCUUGAGCACAAUAUAAUAUCUUGGUUGAGAUCAAACAACGCACAAUUUGCGAUCCUCCACUGAAGCGAGUACCAAGCAUUGGAUAUCAUAUCCUCCGAAAUUCUAUGGCUACAUUGUCGUUCAAAGAAAUUGGUUUUCCAGCCAUUUCGUUUCGUUCAAGUUCUCUAGCGUGACAACCUGUCUGCCACCCAUCUUGCAGCGAACCCAAUCUUCCACUCACACAACAAACAUCUUGAACUAGACUUUCAUUUCGUCUGUGGGCAAAUUGUAGCUAAACAACUCGUGGCCCGAUACAUAUCGACAAAGGACCAGCUUGUCGAUACUCUCACCAAGACACUCACCACUACUCGCUUUGAGUUUAUUCUAUCAGAACUUUAAGUACAUCCGCCAUUCCGCUUGCGGGAGGAUGAUAAGGAUACAGAUUAGACAAUCCUUUCUUCUUGUACUCUUUCCUUUUCUUAAUAUUCUUUUGUAUAUUCUUAAAAUCUCUUCAUAUUGUAUUAUUGUUGGGAGAUUUGAUGUAAUUGAUCGUAUAGUAAUUAUCAAAUCUUGUACUCAGUCUUUGUGACCAAGAUUAGUACAAGAGUUCCCCUAAUUAUCUUCUAGAGCGUAUAUAUUGAUUUAUCAAUUAAUCGUUAAUGGGGAAUUUUGAAAAUGGUCGUCGUCUUCUUCAUUCAUACUUAGUGAUCUAACAACCAGACAGCCAGUAAAACAAAAAUCCGACAGACGAUGAACAUUCGUCCUUAAAUAAAGUGAAUUUCAGAAGUUUGUUCAAAACUUUCCCUCCGAAGUCUUCAAAAUAUCCCCAGACAAAAAAAGAAUAAGAAGGAUUCAAUCAUUCAUUCAUCUACCCACCCUGGUUCGGUUUCCAAAAUCCUUGAAGUUGCUAUCUCGCAAUUAAGUCCUUCCCCUAACCAAUUUUCCCCAUUAAUUAUUAUUGUGACGUCUUUGAACACACAAUACUUUGAUUUUACCAUGGCAAUCACCACCACACCUCCACUUGACGACCACCCUUCACUUCCCAAUAAUUCCUCUUCCACUUCCGCCAACGCCUCGCAUCGUCGGUUGCGUAUCUCCGACAUCCUAGCCUCUCCUCUCGACGACGAAGACGACCAACCGGAAGAAGAGGCUUUCCUGAUCCGCCGCCGCAGUUUGGGGAUGGGUGAAGGUAGUUUUCUCGAGGGUCGUCAUCGCAAUAGUAGUACUUCCUACCAUUGUUCGUCCCCUUGCCGAGUUGUCUCCCGGUGGUUGUCAUGGAUGAGACGGUCUAAGACCAAAAGGAUUUCCGGAAAAUGCUCCAGAAUUGAAGACGGCAGUAGGGCUGAGGCGGAAGAGUAUAAAGAUUUGACCGCGGUCGUGAUGCAGCCUAGGUGUUCGAUGAAAGGUCUCAACGAUGGCUUCUCGGAGGAGAACGGUAAGCAGUUGUUGGGUUGAUAUAUUCUCUCGCAUUUUUUGCUCUUCUUUGCUCAAAAUUGAAAUUGGGUUUGGAAAUUUUCAGCUUCAGGGGAUUCCAGUAGGAAGGAGGUUUCUUUUAACGCUGGGAUCGGAUGUUAUCUUCUCUACUUAGUGGCGGCGACGAGAAAUGAACUUGACAGGAUCAACGGCGCGCGAGUGGAAAUGGAGACUCUUCUUCAGAAUACCAAACGGCAGCGGCGGAGGAGCGCGGACAGAAAUGAUGACUAUGAUGAUAUUCUGUUUGAUUUUUCGGCCGGAAGAGCUAAAGAGCAUCAUCAUGAGUUGGAGCCUCAAGUUUCUACGGAGAUUCAUAUGAAUAAUUCUUAUGCUUUGCCAGCUUCCUCAGGUAGCCAAGAGUCCGUCAAUUGCGAGAUUUCGAAAAGGGAAGAGUGUAUGGAAGACAUGGAACAUCUAGAGGUGGAACUUGAAGCUGAGCUACAGCUUUUGCAGCUCCAAUUGGAUCGAGACAAGUUGAUGGAACGUUCACAACUUCAAAGGGUAAGAAUUAAUACAGUUGGAUGAAUUAGCCAAUAAAGAACUGAACCGUGAACUUGAAUGUAGUUGGUACGGCUCUUAAGAUUGUUCCUUUGGGAAUUUUGAAUGAUACAGGUGAGAAAUGAGGAGGAGAGUUGUAGUAGUAUAUCUUCGAGAAGCUACAGCAUGAUUUCAUUAGAGGAAGAAGAAGGAGAAGUGAUUGUUUGUGAUCCAGAGCAAGGUGGGUUUUCUCCAUAUGAAUUGGAAAGGAGGCUGCACCAAGUGCUUGAGACAAGACAGGAAGAGGAAAUCAGGGAGCUGGAGGCUGCUUUAGAAAGUAUGAAGCAGAAGCUUCAAGUGAAGGAGAUGGAGGUUUCCUGGUGGAAAGCUGCGGCAGCAAGAAGUGGAGGAGGGCUUCAUUGUCCAGAGACUACUGAGAUUGCGUCGUCGUCUUCACGGUUUGUUACAGAGCAGAAGAGUUGUUGCGAACAAUGACAGUGUGGUCGUCGUCAGAGGGUGUUUCAAAAUGGUGCACUUCGUACAUGGAUGGGUGAUGCUGAGAUCUAUUAUUGUUUUAGGUGUGUGGUAGUGAUUUUGUUUAUUAUAAUUGGUAUUGAGUGAUGGCUAACAUUCUUGUUAGUCUUCCUAUUUUUUCACAAGAAAACGUAACUACUUCAGGUACCAAUCAUUGAUUAAAGAUAGGAUUUUCUGCAAAGUUAUUAUUAUUAUUAUUAUUACAUUAAAGAUAAUAUAAAGUAGUUGCUAAUAUACCAAUAAUCAUCAAUCAGUGUCCAGUAACAAGUAUCUAUUUUGUUUUAUCGAAAAUAGUUUUAGUUAUAUUAUUAAAUUUUUUUUGCUAAAUAAUAUUCAAUCUGUCAAUGAUCUUCAGGGAGGAUUAUAACUCUUAUGAGUGAAGCCUGGACCCACAAAAGAGUAGCAUGAGCUACAACAUUCGUACUUCCAAUUAUCCCUAUAAUAAUAAACCUUGAACCAAAGUUGACAUCCCAAACCCGAUAAUAGAAAACAAGGAAUAAAUAUUCAAACAAAAAAAAAUAUUUGAAAUUAAGAAAGCUGUAAAUGAACCUUGAACCAAAGUUGACAUCCCAAGCCCGAUAAUAGAAAACAAGAAAUAAAUAUUCAAACAAAAAAAAACAUUUGACAUUAAGAAAGCUGUAAAUGAACGGUGGAGCCCGAAUUGGGGACACCCAAAACAUCAAAAACUAAAAAAUGUCGAUACCUCGAAUGAGUUCUUUCCAAUGAAUCACUCCUCAUGACAGGACCUGUUGUUCAGGCCUGCUGGUGCCACGUUUUUUUAUGUUCCUGUACUCUCGAACGCCGCCGCCAAUACUUCUUCACCUAGCUUAAAGGCGUCUUUUCCUCGUUCCUUUUCAUCACCGUCUCGUUCUAGUGACACCAUUUCCAUCUCCGAUUUACCGCGGAGAGAAGGAACCAUCAACUCCAACCCUCUUUUUUGGUUAAAAAAAAUCCUAAUUGACGUUUGCUACAAAAAACCCUAAUCACUCUUUGUGGCAAGACCUGUUGUUCAGGUCUGUCGGUGUCAGGUGUUUUUGGGUGUUCCUGGAUACCCUCUUACGCCGCCGCCAAUACGUCUUCACCAAACUGCAGCACGUCUUUUCCUAGUUCCUCUUCAUCAUCGUCUUGUCCUGGUGACACUAUUUCCAUCUCUGAUUUGUCGCGAGAAGGAACCUACAACUCCAACCCUCUUUUUGCUUUAAGAAAAAAAAUUCAACUAACUUUUGCAUAAAAAACGUAAUAAUUUUUUGUACCGAAAGAGGAGUUCGCCGAAAGACAAAAAGAUGAAUGAUAAAAGAACGCGAUCAACAACGUUACCACAAAUCUCUCAAUUAGAAGAAUACUAAAUUCUGACCAGACGAAAAAAAGGAGGAGGCAUCGAAACCCUAGAAAGAGAAGCUCUCGGCUGUUUUCAUAGUUGUAGUAACAAGUUUCUAUUAGUUAGUCAUAAAAAGGAUUGAUAUAAAUAAGACUAUAUUUUUAUAGAGAAAGUACGCGUUUAUAUCCGCACUUUUUUACUAAAUGUUAACCGAAUUCUUUAAACUUUGACCGUUUUAACAAAUACACCUUUUUAUUAGUAUUUUCAUCCAAAUUCUGUUUAAUAUGUUAAUUGUACACAUCACAUAAAUUUAUCCUUUUAUAAGGCAUAAUUAUUUGUUGACGGGAAAUUGCACUAAACUUAAAAUAUAUUUUUUUCCAGUAAACUAAAAAUGAUUAAAAACCUAAAAGUAAAAAUUCAAAACUAAUUAAAAAGCUCAAAGAGACCUCCACAUACAGUAAGUAAGUGAAGGCUCAUACUUUGUUUUGGGGUAAUUUGGAGAUGAUUCAUAGAAUGGUAAUGGUGGUUCUCUCAUACAAAGNNNNNNNNNNNNNNNNNNNNNNNNNNNNNNNNNUACAAAGACUUGAAAACGAGAGAUUAUAUAACUCUAGUAGGUUAGUUGUUGCUUUAAUUUCGAACUAUUUCCCAUUGUCUUGUUUGAGUUGUCCUCUGCCGUUUUUGUCUUGUAGGGUUGUUUUGGGGUUCAAUUUGGUAGUUGUACUUGAUUUGCCCAAGUGGUUCAAUCACACUGGGUUGUGUUGUGAUCUAUAUAUGAUUAUUAUUAUAAUAAUAUAUUAUCAUGCAUACAAUUGGCAUGAAAUGAAGAAGAUUGUAAUUAUUGCACUCAAUUAGUAAUCAUUUGUAUUGUAUUGUAUUGUAUUGUUUUGUGUCUUUGUGGUUUGGUUGGGACAUGAGACAUGACUGGCUUGUCAGGGGAUGUGUGUCUCUGGAGAGGUUGAGGAGCGUGGGGGGUUUUAGAUUAUUUAAUAUCAAUUACCAAAGAUGUUGGGUACCACGUCCAAACAUACCUACCUCCUAAAAUGCUACUAACUAACUACGUGUUCCUCUCGUUACAAAUAAUAAAUACAAUACACUGGCCGGUAUUGCUUUUGUUGUGGGGGAUUUUUUUUAUUUUUAUUUUUUCGAAAUAAGAUUAUUUGUAGUGUUAAUGAGUGAGUUCAAAAUAAAUGUUGUUAAUAAAUUUCUUACACUAAUUAGGAGGCGACGUACCUAUUAAGAUGGGUGUAUGAUUGUGAGAGUGACGAACAAGUUUAUGUGCAAGGUCAUUUUUAGAUCUUCUAACCCAAUUUAUCGCGAAACCUCAUCUCCAUUAUCCCCAAAUUUGUUUCACGAUUGAUCAUGAUGAUUUGCUAAGUACAAAAUAUGCGUUUUCAGUUAGGCUGGAGUUGCGAUGUGUAUAAAUACACAUCUCUACACAGCCUUGAUUACACAUAAUGAAUUAUUUUCCUUCUUUCAAAUUGAAUCUUUUAGUCUCUUUUUAAAAUUCCAACACUUGAUUCAUUCACCUUGAAUUUGAGUAUUUACCGUGAUUAUUCUUUAGGUUUUAGGUGAUAUUUAGAAAUAUUAUUUCUAAGACAGUGUUUGAUGAUACGAUCACAAUUCUUAAUUUUCCUGGUCCGUUUAUCGUUGUUUUGAUAGAUUAACUUGAGAUUUGCUUUCGUGUUCCUUAUUCUUUCAGUAUUUAUCUUGUGUUCUGCUUAAGUUCUCAGUGUUUAGAACUAUUAUUCCUAUCAAUGAUGGCUCCGAACUCCGACAAGUCUCUAUCUUCCCCAAUUACUCAAAGAAAACCAUGCAACAUUAUAUAUAUANNNNNNNNNNNNNNNNNNNNNNNNNNNNNNNNNNNNNNNNNNNNNNNNNNNNNNNNNNNNNNNNNNNNNNNNNNNNNNNNNNNNNNNNNNNNNNNNNNNCUGUUUGUCGAUUUAAAUUUUUUCUCUUACCGUACUAUCGAUAACAUAAAUAAUUCAACUGAAUCGUAAAUAAUUAUCAAUAAGUGCUUAAGUUUUCCAAGACUAAGAACAAUAGUUUAAACAUUUUUUACAAUCAACCAACAAAUUUAGAUUACUCACUAGUCUGUCGGCUGGUUUAUGCUAAUUUUAAUCUAUACUGUGUUUAAAAUUUAUCGAAUGAAGUUCAACCUAUAAUUUAUAAUGCUAAUGAAUAAUGAUUGGUCAUCGAAAUUAAAAAACGUAAUAAACACCUUUUGAUGAAUAGUUGAGCAUAAUGAGAAACAUAACCUCUAUUGGGCCAUUAAAAGAAUCUUGAAAAGAAAUCAUGUUAUGUGAGCUAUGCUUAGAUGUUAUGGAUAUAUCUCAUUCAAACCGACUCAACCCAUUAGAAUAAUCUUUGAAAAUAGGGACAUGGCAUCUCACCCCAAGGACACCUUCGGCAUCCAGGGGUCGCUGACCGACCAUAGAACCCUGUUCAAUAAAUAUGUAGAACGCAUUAGGUGUCCACUCUCAGGUUGGGCAGUAAGGGUGGGAGAAGGGCAAUUACUCAUUCUUAAAACCAGUAUCUAUAAGACCAAAGAGUGGGGCGGAAAAUGGGGGCAGGGGGAAGCUCUCUAUUCCUAGUUUUCCUAUAGUUGGAUCCUCCAGAACCACAAGAAUCUUUAGUUAGAAUGGGAUUUGAACUCAGCGCCUUUUGAGAAGAGUUGCUCUUUGGAGAGCAUAGUAUGAUGAAAGUUAUGAGUUGUGUUCGGGGAGGGGGGGAGUUAUUGUCUAUCGUUGGCCUCUAUUGUAGAAUCACCCGAGGGGCCCGCGAGGCAGUGGUUUACCCUGUGGCGGAUGUCAGCGGUUCGAGUCCGCUUAUCUCCAACUCGUAAACUUAGCUGGUACAAAGCUAUACGAUAGCACCCAAUUCUUUUGAUUCGGCAGUUCGAUUAUUAUUAAUCAUCCAUGGACGCUGAUAAGAUCCUUCCAUUCAGCAGAGCCAUAGGAUGGCAUAGCCUUAAAGUAAGGGUGAGGUUCAAACGAGGAAAGGCUUACGGUGGAUACCUAGGCACCUAGAGACGAGGAAGGUCGCAGUAAGCGACGAAAUGCUUCAGGGAGUUGAAAAUAAGCGUAGAUCCGGAGAUUCCCGAAUAGGUCAACCUUUCAAAUUGCUAUUGAAUCCAUAUGCAAGCAAGAGACAACCUGAAAACUGAAACAUCCUAGUAAUUAGAGGAAAAGAAAACAAAAGCGAUUCCCAUAGUAGCGGCAAGCGAAAUGAGAGCAGCCUAAAACGUGAAAACAGGGUUGUGGGAGAGAAAUACAAGCGUCGUGCUUCUAGGCGAAGCGAUGGCGAAUUUCUAGUAGCCGAAAACCUCACUAGCUUACGCUCUGACCCGAGUAGCAUGGGGCACGUGGAAUCCCGUGUGAAUCAGCAAGGACCCCCUUGCAAGGCUAAAUACUCCUGGGUGACCGAUAGCGAAGUAGUACCGUGAGGGAAGGGUGAAAAGAACCCCCGUCGGGGAGUGAAAUAGAACAUGAAACCGUAAGCUCCCAAGCAGUGGGAGGAGCUCGGGGAUCUGACCAAAUUCCAGUUGAAGAAUGAGCUGGCGACUCAUAGGCAGUGGCUUGGUUAAGGGAAACCCACCAGAGCCGUAGUGAAAGUGAGUCUUCAUAGGGAUUGUCACUGCUUAUGGACCCGUACCUGGGUGAUCUAUCCAUGACCAGAUGAAGCUUGGGUGAAACUAAGUGGAGGUCCAAACCGGCUGAUGUUGAAGAAUCAGCGGAUGAGUUGUGGUUAGGGGUGAAAUGCCACUCAAACUCAGUGCUAGCUGGUUCUCACCGAAAUGCGUGGAGGCGCAGCUGCUGACUAGAUAUCUAGGGAUAAAGCACUGUUUCGGUGCUGGCCGCGAGAGCAGUACCAAAUCGAGGCAAACUCUGAAUACUAGAUAGGACCUCAAAUAACAAGGGGUCAAGGUCAGCCAGUGAGACGAUGGGGGAUAAGCUUCAUCGUCAAGAGGGAAACAGUCUGGAUCACUAGCUAAGGCCCCUAAAUGACCGCUAAGUGAUAAAGGAGGUGGGGGUGCAUAGACAGCCAUAAGGUUUGCCUAGAAGCAACCACCCUUCAAAGAUUGCGUAAUAGCUUAUAGAUCGAGUGCCCUUGUGGCGAAGAUGAACGGGGCUAAGUGAUUUGGCGAAACUAUGGGAUGAAAAAAUGCAUCGGUAGGGGAGCGUUCCGCCUUAGGGGAAAGCACCCGCGUGAGCGGGUGUGGACGAAGCGGAAGCGAGAAUGUCGGCUUGAGUAACGCAAACAUUGGUGAGAAUUCAAUGCCCCAAAAACCUAAGGGUUCCUCCGAAAGGUUCGUCCACGAAGGGUGAGUCAAGGAAUAAGAUCAUGCCAAAAGGCGUAGUCGACAUACAAUAGGUGAAUAUUCCUAUACUACCCCUUGUUGGUCCCGCAGGACGGAGGGGGCUAGGUUAGCCGAAAGGUGGUUGUCGGUUCAAGGACGCAUGUUGUCCCUUUCAGGGUAAGAAGGAGUAGAGAAAAUGCCUCGAGCCAAUGUUCGAGUACCAGGCGCUGAAGUAACCCAUGCCAUACUCCUAGGAAAAGCUUGAACGACCUUCAACAAAAGGGUACCUAACCGACACGUGUGGGUAGAUAGAGAAUACCUAGGGGCGCGAGACAACUCUCUCUGAGGAACUCAGAAAAAUAGCCCGGUAACUUCGGGAGAAGGGGUGCCUCCUCACAAAGGGGGGUUGUGUGACCAGGCUCGGGCGAUUGUUUACCAAACACACAGGUCUCCGUAAAGUGGUAAGACCAUGUAUGGGGGCGGACGCCUGUCCAGUGCAGGAAGGUCAAGGAAGUUGGUGACCUCCGGCGACCCAAGCCCCGGUGAACGGCGGCCGUAACUAUAACGGUCCUAAGGUAGUGAAAUUCCUUGUCGGGUAAGUUCCGACCCGCACAAAAGGUGUAACGAUCUAGGCACUGUCUUGGAGAGAGGCUCGGUGAAAUAGACAUGUCUGUGAAGAUCCGAUGGUGUCGGUGGAAAGACCGUCUCUCAACGGAUAAAAAUUACUCUAGGGAUAACAGGUUGAUCUUCCCCAAGAGAUCACAUCGAUGGGAAGGUUUGGCACCUCGAUGUCAGCUCUUUGCCACCUGGGGCUGUAGUAUGUUCCAAGGGUUGGGUUGUUCACCCAUUAAAGCAGUACGUGAGCUGGGCCCCCGGCAGCACAGCCGAGACAGCGAUGGGUUCUCUGUCCCUGUGGGGAUGGAGCGACGGAAGUUUUGAGAAUUUAAGAAAAGGUCACGGUAUGACGAUCCAUUUAUCAUUACGAUAGGAUUCAAGUGGAAGUGCAACGAUGUAUGCAGCUAAGGCAUCUUAAUAGACCGGCAGACUUGAACCUUGUUCUUACAUGACUCGAUCAAUUCGAUCAGGUACUCGCCAUCUAUUUUUCUUGUUCAAUUCUUUGACAACAUGAAAACACCAAAAGAUCUACCCUCCCUCUCUAUCUAUCCAAGGGACGGAAGAGCGGAGGCCUUUGGUGCCCCCUCCAGUCAAGAAUUGGGGCCUCGCAAUCACUAUUCGGGCGUCCCAGGUGUAGAAGAACAACACCAAUCCAUUACGAACUUAGUGGUUAAACUCUACUGUGGUGAAGAUACUGUAGGGGAGGUCCUGCGAAAAAAUAGCUUGACGCUAGGAUGAUUCAAAGCUUAACACCCCAAUUCUUAUUACUUUUUCAAUAUGACAAAAAUUAAAAGGUCUUCUUAUUUAAAACACUAAUUAUGAAAUGCCUUCUCUCCCACUUCACACUGGGGAAAGUGCCGUUCUUAUAGAGAGAGAAGGCGCUUUUGACAUCUUCUUAACCUGAAAUGGUUGGGGAGAGGAAAGCUUUCUUUUUUAGGGUACUUCGGGAACAGAUCCAGUGGAGAUGGGUGGGGCAUGUAGCUCAGAGGAUUAGAGCACGUGGCUACGAACCAUAGUGUCAGGGGUUCGAAUCCCUCCUCACCCACAAUCGGCCACAAUGUCAAGGAUUCGAACCCAUUAGUGUUCUAAAUUGGUUAAAAGUUAAUACCUUGUAGCGUACUUAACUUACGACCUAUUACCAUGUACCCUUAUGUACCCAGAAUUUAGGUGACCAUUGCCAUAUUUUUUUCAAAACUUGUGCAAACAUGAUUGUCUUUAAAAUAAUUGAUUGAAUGAUAUAAAUUUUAAAACAAUAUAUGAUUAAGAAGCAAUUAGGUGUACCUAUAAUUUCAUUUCUCUAGUAUUUCCCAUUCUUAUUCCAUGGCAUUUUUCAAUAACCUGACAUAAAAUGCUAAUUGUAAUAUAUAUAUAUAUAUAUAUAUAAUAUGGCAGUGGUCACCUAAAUUCUGUUAUAACUUUAAAUUGCAACAAUUAAUAUGUAAAAUAUAACAUAAUUUGACCCAUUNNNNNNNNNNNNNNNNNNNNNNNNNNNNNNNNNNNNNNNNNNUUGCAGUGUUAAAACAAUAUUGAAAGUUAGAUUGGUUAGGGUGAUUUGAUAUAGUUUACAAAUGAACAACAUAUUAGCCUCGUUUAGUGUGACGUCAGUGAACAAGAUGAUUGAAUAUACUUGAAAAUGUUGGGUGUGAUGUGCAUGUUGGUUAUCAUCCCCAUAAUGACAUAACGUUCAAUAUUAGAUGGAUUAUUUUCCAAAACAAUCCAGNNNNNNNNNNNNNNNNNNNNNNNNNNNNNNNNNNNNNNNNNNNNNNNAUAACGAACAACAUUUGUGAAUUAUUUUGACUAACGUAUGAAACGUUAUGGAAGAAAAACUAAUUAAAAUGAGAAAAAAUAGAGGUUCAAAAUAAUUAAUAAGUUUUCUUUACAAUAAAAGUGGUUUGUGGUUUGUGUAUAAAAAAAAUAAGUUGUUUGAAAAAAACAAUUCUUUCUAAACUUAAUGAGAAGCCUUCAAAAACCUAUGUAGUAAAUUCAAUUUUUUAUUUUCCUGUAUAUAGUUGUAGAGAUAUAUGUAUAGAAAAUAUACAAUUACUAAUUGUCAUAAUCAGUUAUGAUUUUUUUAUAUUUUAUAAAAGUAAUAACCAGUUAUAUAUUGAGCGUUAUAUGACCAAUAAAAUUCAUAGGCUGUAGGCUCAUUGUUCGAACCUGUGAUUUUCUCCUACUAGCUCCUUCAUUCUAACUCCAUGCAUGUUUUCUGGAAAUUAAAACAGUUGACGUCUUCAAUUCACCGCUAGCUGCUCAAGUUCAAUACUAUGUACCGUUUGCUUUCUGAAUGCUGAUGAUUGUUUGUCUUGUGUUGAAAUUGGCUGAGGGACGAUGAAUCAAUUAGAUGCGUCAAUGGAUGGUUAAUGUAUUUUUAAUUGUCUGCGUUGAACUCAAACCAUUUGAGGCAUAUAACUUUUCUGGCUUCUGCCACAUUCCAUUACACGUUGAGCUAGUUUUCAAAGCUUGUACCUUUUUAGAAAUUUUGUUGUGAAAUGCAGUAGUCUGUUACCUUUGGAUGUCCGCUUACUACCAAAAGGCUUUCCACUCAUUAUGCGAAAUACUUGGAUAAUUUUGUUUUAUAUCAAAUACUUUAUACUUGGAUAUUUGGAAAAUGGAAUUUUUUUUAUGAUUUUAAAUUUUAAUAGAAAAGGAUAAAUAGUGAAUUGAUAAAUUCCAUUGCAGCGGUAAUUGAAGAUGCUGACAAAGGUAGUCCGUUUUUGAAAAAGAAAAGGUUUCCGCAGUUGAAAAUUUAAAUAAUUUGAAGAUAGUUNNNNNNNNNNNNNNNNNNNNNNNNNNNNNNNNNNNNNNNNNNNNNNNNNNNNNNNNNNNNNNNNNNNNNNNNNNNNNNNNNNNNNNNNNNNNNNNNNNNNNNNNNNNNNNNNNNNNNNNNNNNNNNNNNNNNNNNNNNNNNNNNNNNNNNNNNNNNNNNNNNNNNNNNNNNNNNNNNNNNNNNNNNNNNNNNNNNNNNNNNNNNNNNNNNNNNNNNNNNNNNNNNNNNNNNNNNNNNNNNNNNNNNNNNNNNNNNNNNNNNNNNNNNNNNNNNNNNNNNNNNNNNNNNNNNNNNNNNNNNNNNNNNAAUAAUUUCCUUAUAUUUGCUUAUAUAGUUGUGUAAAUUUCAAAAUGAGAUGUUUCAUAAUUUUUAAGACUUAUAAUGAAAUAAACACGUGUCCCAUUUGCUUGACAUCUUCAUAUAUAGACUUUGUAAAUUUUUAAUUUUUCUUGAACCUAAAUUGAAAAAUUUCAGUCAAUCAUUUAUUUGCAUGCAUUUUGGCUCAUGGUCCUCAUAAAUAGCUAUGAUAUUUAGCGCUACACUAUACGCAAAAUGUUUGUCAACAUUAACUUCAUGCAGUUCCAAUAUUUUUCAUACAAGAUAGAGAUAGUUGAGAUAUAGGUAUUCAUAUUUUUCAAAUCAUUCUUGAGCACAUUAUUUGUUUCUCUUGGUGCUUUUUCUAGAAUAAUCUUAAUCUCAAUUUGACCAUCUUGAUAUAUAGCUUCAUUCCACUUUGAGGAUUAUUUUUUUUACUUUGAAACCGAGUGGUCUACCACGCUCUAUGCGGUUUGAGACUCAUUUAUGAUGUGAUAUAAAUCGAAUAUCGCAGUGCAUAUAACUAUUGGUCUUUCAUUGCCAAUCAGAUAUCGCAGUGCAUAUAACUAUUUUUUUCAAUCAAACUGUGAUAUAAAUCGAAUCUCACAAUAAACAAAGUUCCAUACCUGCUUAAGUAGUAGUGUUGCCUUUGAUUCUUUCAAUUAACCUUGAGGAAUUGAUAACUUAAGAUGUGUUACAAGUUUGAGGAAGCUUCAUUUAGCAGAGAAGCUUUCAUCUCCUACAUUAAUUUAGUUUCUUAAGAAGUGCCAUUUUGCUGAUUGUAUAUUCCCGCUCGAACAACAAAAUGUCAUGUUCCUCCCCACAAAACAAAAAUCGACCAUUGUAACUGGGGGAAAAAAGAAUGGGACUUGAAUAAUACACUUUAUGUUUGAAUUCGUCACUCUUUUGAAAAUAUUGCUAGCUAGACAGAUGGAUAUUUCGUAUAACCUCGUAAAUCUGCAGAAAAGCAAGGUAUCUCCAAAAAAAUCGAAAUUCUCAAAUCAAUUUGAGAAUACAGGAAUCAAAACGGGUGUUCCUUUCCAUAAAUCCAAACUCGGCCACUAUAAUUGCAAAAGCAAAGCAAAAUCUUUCAUUCUUAAGCACUGAUAACGGGAACGAAAAAGAGGCAAAAGUAAUCAGCACAUGCCUACACUCUUGAAGCAAGAAUUUUUUGGUGAUUUUUGAUUUUAUAUCUCGGUAACUGCAAUAAAAAAACAAAAUCUUCCAUUCUUAAACACCUUCUACCCAACAUUCAUAUGUAUUCAUGUAUCUCGCUUAGAAGAAGAAGAAUAAUAAGUGAUUGUGGGAUUUUGAUUUGUAGGAGAAAAAUAAAAAUUAAGAAUUUUUUUUAUUGAUUCUGAAUUGAGAAGCAAAAAAAAGGAAGUUACCCGUGAAAAAGAGAGAAGGAAAGAUGGAUGAGAAUCGCAGAAGGAAGGUUGCGAUAGAAAGAGGAAGGAAGACCCCAUCCGAGAAAACAAGAGCGAAAGGGAGGUUGUGGGAUAGAGGAGGAAGAUUUACUGAAAUCUAUUAUCGUACAAAAACUCAAAAAAGGAAGAGAAAGAUCGUGGAAAAAGGAAGUUCUUUUGGAAAAAAUUAAUUAAUAAAAAGUAAAAAUAACUUUAAAACAUUUGAUUGGUACAUAAAAUGAAAACGUAUAUAUAAAUAUUAGAUAUCUUGGACAUAAAGCUAUAAAUUAAGAGACCUCUAAGAAAGUUGUUAUAAAAAAGUUUCAUAGAAUUCACCAAUCUUAAUUUUCAAGCGCUUGAUGUCCGCUGCAUGUGCCAUACAUAUUGUGAUCCACUUCAUCAUCUUCAAAUGCAGCCUUGAGAUAGUAAUUAUUGAUAAACCAAUAGAUGCGCAAACUGAUAAGUUAUAUUCAGUUCUUUAGAUCAAACUUUAAGCUCAUAUCACAAGCCAGAUAAAUCGGCCAUGAUCUCCAUCAUCUAACAACCAUGCUUAUCUAACUGUUACUGGACUAAAAUGUAAAGCUAACAAAAGUUCAGUGACUAAUAAGAUAAUAUAAAUAACUUAAUGAUCAUAACUAAUAGGACGCAAUUUCAUAUCCUAACAUAUCCUCCCCUGAAUUGAAGCCUCUUAGCAAUCUUCAGUUCAACUUCACUCAAACAUUUCUAUCUCUGCUCCAUCCACCAUUCCAAGUCUUUUACAAAAUAGCUGAAAAGUUCCAGCUUAAGUGCCAUUUGUGAAACCCGUCCCUAAUCUAACUAGUCCUAAUUCUUAUCCUAAACAUGAACUAUGAAACACACACAGAGUUCAUCGUUGUGAGCUUAUGCUUGAAAAUAACAACAGCCUGUGUAGUAGAUCACACCCUACUGCACAGCCUGAAAUACUCAACUGCAAUUCACAACCACUUGUACAGUAGAUCGCACGCUAUUGUACAGUCAUGAAAAUCCAAGUAUGGACUCCUAACACUAAUUACCAUUCUUCGUAUAAAGCAGAAAAGUAAUCCUAACCCCUACCUCUAAAAAGCUUUCCACUGAAGACUCUGGUCUGAAACCGUCUCCCUAAAGCUCGAUUGCUUGAUCUGAAUGACCUAUUGAGAUCAACGUAGGAUUGAAAUCCCAAAAUCCCCAACUCCUAACAUGACAGGAUUUUCCUACGUAAGGAUUCAAAUCAAAGGAUUGAGAAAGCAGGAAGAAGAUAGAUUACCUUUUGAAACUUUCUCAAUGAUCUCUAAACCUCUCCUACUAGUCUAGGAUCGAUCAACAAGGUCCUCAACUCUGCCUGGAACCAAUAGUUAUUCGUUAGUAAAAUUGCAAAACUAGGUUUUUGUAAAUCUGAGUUCUGGAAAUCGCGACUCUGCUUUUAUAAACAUUCCACCACGUCCGUGGUGGCAUGGCAACCAUGCACAUGGCCUACUUGGAAAGGAGUUUGGUUCUAGCUCAAACUACCUAAAGGUUGGGAUGGACACUUAAGACACCUGAUAUGAAGAAGAAUCUCCACUAGAUACUCGUAGGAGUUUGUGGAAUGAUCAUGCACACGAACUACCAUCACUAGAUUGCUCAACUGAGACUUGGUCCACUCUAAUUCAAGUUGUCUAGUAAUGAACACAAGGUGUUUGACGAAAUGCCUAGGUGGUUGGAAGACCUUAGAGACCUCACAAACACUUGAAAAGGGUGCUAAGUCACUAUUUGACAACCCAACCAUCCCAUCCAUCAAUUGUAUCACUCAAUUUAGGGAUAUCCAGAAUGCACACUAAGUGUUCGACAAAAUGCCACUAAAGAAAUCUUAUCACAAGUGGUUGACUUAGGGUGUGGCUUGGUCCACACAAACCUUACUUCUAUCGUUGAUUAACAACCUAACUCCAUUCAAUCAAAAUCAAUCAAAUAAAAGAGUUAAUUUGACCUAAUUUAAGCUAUAGCAUACAUUAGGUUGAAACCAUCAUAAUCCAAUCACAUCAGUCAUUUAUUCAUGGCAUCCACAUGUCCAACCCUUUACUUCUAGUAAUAAUCAUACCAAGAACAUACAUCCAAACUAAAUAACAACAAAGAACUAGCUAUACAUGAUCAUCCAAAGAGAAGAAAAGAAAAAGUGAAAACAAUCCAAACCCAAGUUGUCAAGUCAGGAUGUACUUGCUUCAGCCUUCUCUUCGACCUUCUAUUCUUCAAUCCAAUGCUCUUAGCUUCCUUGACCUUCAAUUUGAUCAUCAAUUGUGUCUUCUAGGAUUUUUGGAAAGAGGGAAGUUGAGAGAAAAAUCCCACCCAAAAGGGUGGUGAAAGAUGGAAUGAGGGGUCUCCCUUCUCUCUCUCCAUGAUUUUGGGCUUAUGAUUCAUAUAUGAAAAGCUUUAGCUUCUUCCUACCCGUGUCGAUUUGACCGAGUGAUAAUGAUUUCAGAGAUUGGAGCUUAAAAAUCACAAGGUCAAAAUUACAACUAUCUCUCUCUCUCAUGUUCCAAGUGAUUCAGCUGUGGAGCGGUUUAUUCAAACUUAGAUAGACAAAGGAUAUGUACUUUCAAGACGCAUAGUAUAUGUGCAUUGUUGUGUAAGUUGGUGUUCUUACUUUGCCUAGUUGGUUCUAGUUUAGUACUAUAUACGUAUAGGAACUCUGCUUCGAGCUUUAAUUUCUGAUCGAGUUUAUAGGGAAGCAACCCUCUCCCUUUAAGAAAUUGGAGAAUAUGUACUUGAAGACCACAUAAUGUACGUACAUGAAGAAGACCGGGAGGGAGGAGGGACUUACCUUCUAAUUAAUUUUGAAAUGAAUUGAAUUCCACAAAAGUUUAGUGACUCUUUUUAUUUUCAAAUACUUACUCAAUUCUACCAAAUUGCUAAACUAGUUUCAAUUUUGCAGAAUUCAAAAUUUAGAAUUGAAAAUUGAUUGUUUUACAAAUAAUAACAAAAACACUCAUUUUGAAAUGAAUUCAUUAAAUUUAAAUUUUUAAGGAAUUUAUUUAUAUACUAAUUAGAGGGUUAGAGUCUUUAUACUCUUUUAAUUUAAAACUUGAUUUAAUCGAUAAAAUGUUGAAUGAAAUUCGGAUAAUACAAUUUUUCUUUUUAUAACGGGUGAUUUCAUUGAAAAUCCAAAGAAAAACCAUACUACAAAACUUUCCUCGUCCCAACACGAGGAGCAGAAAGAUACACGAACAAAACACAAGGCACAACUAACAACAGUUUACAAACCAGCUGCCGAAUCCAACGCUAGUGUUCCUUCCCAGCUAAGCAAUUCGAUCGACCAUCCGAAGUCUCGAUCUCCGGAAAAGAGACACCUCAAUCAUCAGAUACUGUUGUAAGGUAUCAACAACAUAAGCGACCAGCGCAGCACAAAUACACGGCCACACUUGCACUGGUUGUUGCAAAGCCUCCACCAAAGUCGUACAAUCGGACAGAAUGUUAAUCGAACCAACCAUGGUAGCUGCAAGUUUGACUGCAGCAAAUAACAUGCAUGCUUCCGCCACCAAUGGCUCCCAACAAAAUAGACACCAUGCUCUCCCGCCAAUUACGAUCCCAACCGAGUUGAAAGGAAUCACUCCAUAGCCCGCCUGCUGGACAUCGUCUUUGAACGAGCCGUCACACAACAGAGUAAAAUCGUACCUGUUCGGCGGUUGGGUAUCGAACUAAUGAGUUGAAAGAGGAGCGGGCCGAGUACACUGCGGGGCCUUCGAGUAAGCCACCCACAGACCAACCUCAUUACGCAAACUGAGAUCCAUUGCACCGACAUCUGCUGCCAGGUUACUAAAAACCCUUUCACUCCGACACUUCUAUAACACCCAGCACGCAAAGGUUGCUGUUACCGGCACCCUCUGAUCAGCGACAUUCAUCAAAUAAAAAAACCAAUCUCGAAACUGCGACAGCGGCGUAGGGCAACAAGGGCUAGGGAGGGCAACGGCCAGAAUUCUAUGGCUCGUGAACACGCAAACAAGAUGUGGGAAACCGACUCCUCCACUCCUCCACAAGAUUGGCAAUCAGGUGAACUCGCACAGCGUCGCCUGAACAGAUUUUGCUUAGUCGCUACAGCAUCAUGAACAAGCCUCCACAAGAAGAAAAACGAACCUUUGGUGGCAAUUUUAUCGAGAGAAAGAAUAGUAACUGGAGGGGAAUUGGUGUAGUUUAUAGAGAAUGGAAUGCGAACAGUAAACUACAAUGAUACCCUUGAUUUUUUAUUUUUAAUUAUCCAGAACUUGUUAGUUACCUAUCUUUUCUAUAUUGUUUCAAUUUUAUCGAAAAAGACAAGAUUAAUUAGUUAUUACUAACAAUGUAAUGAAAAGUUGAUCAUUAAAAAAGGUUACAGCUGCUAAUCACUAAGCUUUAUAGUCAUCUGCAGAGGCAGCAGCACCAUGUGGAAUCCGAACGCCUAUCCAUCCAGGAUGAACUCGGAGUUGGACUACUAUCAUAACAUGAGAAAGUCAGCUGAAAAAUAAAACAUAUAGGAGAUGCAGUUACAUAUAUUUCCUAGUGAGACGUAGAGGGAACCACAACUCCAACUCCAGCUACCUUCUACUGUUCUACAGCUUGUAAUAUCUACAAUUUCCCAUCCAUAUCUGCACAACCAGAGUCUACAAUCUCUCUCACACUAAAAACACAAAACAAACAUCAACUUUGUCAUGCUGCAGAUGUUAGCCUCCAACAGUUUGUUGUCAUUUCAACAAGUCAACUUCCUCUUCCUAUACAAAUCACCAUUCAUCCCAUGUGCUUAUGAAGUCAUUCCACAUUGCACCUGCCAUUGAUUCUCUCAACGAGAAGGCUAUUUCCUCCUGCAUUGAUGGUCCCAACUCCGACAUCUCAGCAUGCUCGUCAAACUCCGAUACAUCUCCCACUGAAACUCCUUCAACACUGGCAAACAACCAAUCCUUGCGUUCCUCGCGUCUCACAAAAUUAUGCAACACACAGGCAGCAAUCACUAUAUCCCUUUGGACGUGAAUCCCGUACUGCGUCGCAACUUUGAGGAUAGGAAACCUCCUCUUAAGAACGUUGAAUGAUUUAUGGACUGCAUUCCUGAGUGAUGAAUGUCGAUGAUUAAACAGUUCCGCUGCAGUUCUGGGUAACUGAUUAGCACCCUUGAAGUGAUGAAUGUUACAGCGGACACCUGGAUAUGGAGCAAUAUACCCUUCCAUAUUUAUAUACCCAUUGUCAACUAGAUAGUAUUUUCCUGUCACGCAAAGCUUAAUAGAUAAGCCAUUCAUAUACAUCUCAUUUUCAGUAUUAAACCACAUUGCAAGGAUAAAAGAUAACACGAACCUUGAGGAACAUGAGGGAAAUUCUGAGUAGGGUCGUCGAGAACAGCUCUCAAGACACGUGAAUCGGGAGCAGAUCCUUCCCAACCGGGGUAGAUAAAAAUGAACUGUAGGUCAAAUGUACAGGCUGCAAGUACAUUCUGAGAUAAGAAUCCUUUCUUAUUACGAAAUUUAGAUUGAUCUUUGGCCGGUACAUUGGCAGGAAUGUGCAUGCCAUCUAUAACCCCGAUACAGUCCUGAAUCAUAACAGUUUAAAGGGGUAAGUCUCACAUUGCCAUGCAUAUACAAGUAGAGAGGAUAACGCUGCAAGCAUAAAGAAAACCUUGAAAUAUGGAUACAAUCUCUUGCUACCAUGAAUUUCUUGGGGAGUAGUCUGCGGCGGUGGCUGUAAGAACUCACGUGAAAGUGAUUUGACCGACUUGAGUACAUUAUUGAAAUAUCUACUUAUGGUUUCACCUGAAUGCUGAAACCUUUCUUGAACCACUCUGUUGCGCUCGCUAUGACCUAUGAUGUUCAAGAAAAUGGCCACUUGUUCCUCUAUCAUAACACCACAAGUAUCACGUAACAAACCUCUGUGUCGAAAAAUACUGCAUAACUUGUGAAAGACAUGUUUAUCCAUUCGAAACAUUUCCCUGCACAUAUCAUCAGGGCCAUCCAGUACCUCAGCCAUAAAGUUACGUCUCUGAUGUGAUGAAGCAAGUGCAGGCAGCCUACUUAAACUGUUAAAAUAGUAAUAUCCAGCAGCUGCAGCAGCCAUUUCCAUCUCGUCCAGUUGCAAAUCGAGGUCAUCCAUGUUUGCUGAUGUAUCUGUAGAAGCUGAAUUAAAACACCAGAAUACAAGUACCGGAGAUACAAAAUGAUAGUUAACUGACAACUAUAUACUCUUCCAUGCAUGACUAUUACCAGCAAAGAGAUUCAAACACGGAAAGCAAUACAAGUUGACAAAUUAAAGAGCCUUUUUUCACGUUAAAUCUGAAUUAGUUACAAGAAUGUGGUCAGCACACUGUUUGCAACUACAAGAUAAAAAGACAAAACUACUUGGACAAUAUCUCGAUGCUUAAUUCAUUUAGAGCUGGCACUAUACUUCCCCUGUAACCACGGGAGCCGUCUCUCAUUCUUAAGGGAUAUAAAAAUCUCUCGAGCAUCAGGGUUCUCAAAUAGUUCCAGCGCAAAAAAGUAAACCGGUUGAUCAACAUCCUGAAUCUCAUCCAACACUUUGAUACAUUUGCUUAUAGAAAAUUGAUCCUCACUCUUCAUGAUGGCGGCUGCCCGCAAUUUUGAGGCUGCGGCAAUUUCAAGCAUUGCAUCGACAAUGGCGUCACCAGUAGCCUUCCGGCCUCUCUUGCUACGACCAGAGCUAGCUGGUGUUCCAGUUUGCCGCUUGUUGUUGUGUCCAUCUAUCAUGUUAGCACCAUCUGCAGAGCCCGAAGAAACAUCUUCAUCCGCAUAAGCCAUUGGAGCAUUAGGAUUCAAAGACAUGCCUUGUAGGCUAUCAAGACUGCCAACACCCAAGAAACUUCAAAAUCCAGCCGCCUGAGAAGGGAAGUACUGCGUUAUCAUAAUUCAAAUAGGGUUAAAGAAACAGCCAAACCACAGGAGAGCAUUUGUAUUUGCAGUAAAGGGCAAGUCAAUAAAAGAAGCUUCCAGCAUUCAGGCUUCUUCCGAAGCCAGUUGAAUUCAGGCAAAUACUGCCUGAAUUCCCAAACGUGUUCAAUACAUAAAUGGGAAGAACAAAAGCGAAUUUUACUAGAAAAAAUGGUCACAAUCAAAUGAGCAGCCAAGAGACUGCGAAGCAAUGCACAUAGAUUACAACACAUGAGAUCGCGAAUCCCACAUAGAAACAGUUGCGUUUAAACUUGUUACAAAACAAAGAAGAAAGCUCGUAACUUGAGAAGCUAAAGGGCGAAAUGAAUAUAUAGAGACAAUCACCUGCUGUUGCUGUUGCUGUUGCUGUUGCUGUUGCUGUUGCUGCUGCUGAGUUAGAGACUUCUCCACUUCGUUGAAGAAAAGAGAGGGUGAGUCAAUUUGGGGUUUGUUUGGGGGAGAAGAAGGGUUUUUGAGAUUCGACCAAAAUCUAGGGUUAAUUUCACCAUAAAGAUGCAGACGGGCUAAUUACGUCUGAAAGUUCGGUUCGGGGCUACAUGGUAAUAAACCAAAAUCGAAUUUACUAGCAAAUUACGAAACUUUUCAAAUUUAAGAACCUUACAAGGAAGUGAAAUCGGAGAUGUGAUGCUCCAAAGGCCGGCCUUGCUGUUCAGCUUUUGGCUUCCUAUUUUGUUAUAGGGGUUCAUUCUGUCUCAGGAUGACCUACCUCCGUUCCGUUUUUUUUGCUUCGUUACCGUCGUUGUCGUCGAGCCUCGCCCGUGUUGGUUUGGUGGAUUACUCCGCCGGCCAUUUGGCCACGGGAUUCGUCCUUCUUGACAUGGAAAAUGUGAACGGAUCAUCCCCAUGAUUAUUAGAUCAUUUCGCCUUUUGUCAUUAGUGACGAUCAUUUCAAUUCCUCAUAUUUAUAAUCAAAUUGCGAGAUUAGUCCCCCCUUGACUUGAAGAAUGUGGAUGGUUUCCCAUAUUAUUGAUCCCGGCUGAUUAAAAAAAGAAGGGGAUCACACCGUCAAAUUAAUGGUCGCCUCCCGGUCUUCAUUGCACCAAUUAAACAGUUGGUUUUUCCAACCAAUUGCCAUUAAUGUGCCCCCUCCCCUCUUCUUUAGUUAUAAAAGGAAGCAUAUGUUGCCUAAUUUUUGUAUCCCACUCAUUCUCUCCCUAUCUAAUUCGUCUAGUUCUUUUUUUUCUCUGUUCAUUUCUUCACUUGGUCAAUUUGAAAAAAGUUCUUUCAAUUAUUUGGGUAGAUAGGUUAUUGUUAGAAAGUCCUGAUAAAUAUUUUACCGCGGUAGGAAUACUUUUUUGUGAGCGAUAAAAAUAGUGAGGUUGUUGUUUCGAGGUUGGGAAACAUUUGAGACACUAUUUUGGAUUGGCUCGGAUCACCUUGUACCUACCGGUUUAUAAUGAAGAAGUGCUCGUAGUUGUCGCUGCUGCCGUAGAUGUACUCUCUGCAUUGGAGAGGAACUAUGCAAAUCUCUGUGUUAUUUACUUAUCGUCUUGGACUAGGCAAUUUUGUGAAUGUUGGGGUAUAAUGCGAUGUUCAAUUACUAAAGUAAAUUGUUGGCUAAGUUACGGGAGUCAAGAUAAACUGUGCUGGGUCUAAAGUGGAUGUUCCGUCCCCAUGGUGAUUUUUACGCUCAUCGUUCUUGGAUAUUUACUUGGUG